GACAUUAAAAUUUUAAAUCAAAGAUAUUGAUCUUGUUUUAUAUAGUAUAAAGAAUUUUCUAUCAAAAUUUCACGUGAUUUGGAUAUUUCUACACCGUUAAACUUGCAAACGGCUCACUACGGCCAUUGAAAUUUGUUGAUUUUGAGCCCAUUCGAUCACUAGGCAAAUGAUAUCGAAAAAUAAUAAAAUUUAUUUUCUAGGUACUCCAAAUACUCUAGAUCAAGUUUAACGGAGCCGAUCGACGAUUCGAAAGUCGCAACAUCGAAAACGAGCUGGAAGCACGGAAGGCUCCGUGCUUCCGAUAGCAUAGUAGCCUCACUCUAUAUAUAUAUAUAUAUAUAUAUAUAUAUAUAUAUAUAUAUAUAUAUAUAUAUAUAUAGAGAGAGAGAGAGAGAGAGAGAGAGAGAGAGUCCGGCUAGGAUACUCUCAAUAGUACGAAAUAUUUGGUGCUAUCAAGUUUUCUGCCAUUAGAUUUACCUCUUUUAUCAUUUUCAUCCAUUCGAUUAUACUAUUCAACUAAUUACCUACUCAACCCUAGGGGUCCACAUUAUCUUAACCACACAUCUUUUAAUCCAAUUAUUUUUUGAGAGAUAGAUAGCACGCUACCCGCUUCGUUUAUUUCAUUUAAAAAUAAACUUAACUGGAAAUGUGAAUCAACUUGGAUUCGAAUUUGGGACCUCGGGUACCAACCACCAAGCCCUUUGCCAUUUGCUCUAGGGACGGUCGGUAAGAUAGAAAACUUAAUAGCACCAAGUCAUUGAUGCUAUUCACACUUUUGAUCCAUAAUGUUAGAUAAAAGUCGAACAUAGUUCAAGUAAGUUCUCCAUCCGUGAAGGAUAAAACUUAAUUGUUGUGAAACCAUUGAUACUAUAUAUAUAUAUAUAUAUAUAUAUAUAUAGAGAUAUAGAAUUGAGCUUCUAUACUUUNNNNNNNNNNNNNNNNNNNNNNNNNNNNNNNNNNNNNNNNNNNNNNNNNNNNNNNNNNNNNNNNNNNNNNNNNNNNNNNNNNNNNNNNNNNNNNNNNNNNNNNNNNNNNNNNNNNNNNNNNNNNNNNNNNNNNNNNNNNNNNNNNNNNNNNNNNNNNNNNNNNNNNNNNNNNNNNNNNNNNNNNNNNNNNNNNNNNNNNNNNNNNNNNNNNNNNNNNNNNNNNNNNNNNNNNNNNNNNNNNNNNNNNNNNNNNNNNNNNNNNNNNNNNNNNNNNNNNNNNNNNNNNNNNNNNNNNNNNNNNNNNNNNNNNNNNNNNNNNNNNNNNNNNNNNNNNNNNNNNNNNNNNNNNNNNNNNNNNNNNNNNNNNNNNNNNNNNNNNNNNNNNNNNNNNNNNNNNNNNNNNNNNNNNNNNNNNNNNNNNNNNNNNNNNNNNNNNNNNNNNNNNNNNNNNNNNNNNNNNNNNNNNNNNNNNNNNNNNNNNNNNNNNNNNNNNNNNNNNNNNNNNNNNNNNNNNNNNNNNNNNNNNNNNNNNNNNNNNNNNNNNNNNNNNNNNNNNNNNNNNNNNNNNNNNNNNNNNNNNNNNNNNNNNNNNNNNNNNNNNNNNNNNNNNNNNNNNNNNNNNNNNNNNNNNNNNNNNNNNNNNNNNNNNNNNNNNNNNNNNNNNNNNNNNNNNNNNNNNNNNNNNNNNNNNNNNNNNNNNNNNNNNNNNNNNNNNNNNNNNNNNNNNNNNNNNNNNNNNNNNNNNNNNNAUAAUUUAUUUACUAAGUAAACGAUGUCGAAAAAAAUUAAAAUAUUAUUUCUAAGAACUUCAUAUACCCUAAAUCAUAUUUAACAGUGUGGAUCAUUAAUUUGAACACCGUAAGAUCGAAAACAAGACUAUAGUAUCGAAGCUCCGGUACUAUAGAUAGUAUAGUAACCUAUAUAUAUAUAUAGAGAGAGAGCAAGGCUGCUGUACUCUCAGAAUCACGGAGGCCUCCUUGCUCCUGAGCCGUUUUUGAUGAUGGAGUUUCCGAAUCAACGAUCGGCUCCGUUAAACUUGAUCUAGCGUAUUUGAAGUUUCUAGAAAAUAAUUUUUGCGAUUAUUCGAUAUCAUUUACCUAGCAAUUGAAAUGAUUCAAAAUCAAUAAUUUUUAACGACUGAAAAUAAAAAUUCAAUAAAAAGUGAUGAUAUAGCAUUAAAAUUUUCGAUCAGAAAUAUUGAUUUUAUUGUAGAUAGUAUAAAGAAUUUUGUAUCAAAAUUUCAUCUGAUUUGAAUACUUCUACACCGUUAAACUUGAAAACGGCAGAUAUCAACCUUUAAAAAUUAUGAAUUUUGAAUCCUUUCGAUUAGGUAAAUGAUAUAAAAAUGUGCAAAAAAUAUUUUCUAGAAACUUCAAAUGCGCUAGAUCAAGUCUAACGGAGCCGAUCAUCGAUUCGAAAAUUCCAUCAUAAAAAACAGCUCAGGAGCACGGAGGCCUCCGUGCUCCUAAGAGCACAGCAGCCCUGUUCUAUAUGAGUAGGGCUACUGUACUAUUAGGAGCACAGCAGACCUUGUACUCCUAAGUUCCUAACCGUCCAUCAAAUUUGAUGGGUGGUUGGGUGAAAGGAAGAAGAGAAAUUAGAGAGAAAUUUAAAGAGAUGAGAAAUUGAAAAACCCAAUUUCUCUCUAAUUUUUCUUAUCCCUUUCAUUCUAACCAUCCAUCAAAUUUGAUAGGCGGUUAGGAACUUAGGAGCGCAAGGUUUACUGUGCUCCUAAUAGUACAGUAGCCCUAUUUUAUAUAUAUAUAUAUAUAUAUAUAUAUAUAUAUGAAAUCAAAAAUUAAGUGUGUCAACAAAAAAAAAAAUGUUUGAUCCUUCACACUUUUGGGGAAGGUUUAGAGGUGGGGUGCCUAGGAAAACUCCAAAAUGAAAUAAGGGGUUAAUUGCAUACAGUUUUCUAUAAACAUAUUGAAUAGCAAAUAUAUUCCUACAAAAUUUAAUUUUUUUAUUUUUAUCCCUACAAAAGUCCAGUAAUAUUCAUAUGCCGUUAGAGCACUGUUUAUUUUUUAGUAGCAGAUAAAUAAAAUAAUAUAUUUUUCCUUACAAAUAUAUCUCUCUAAAAGCCCAAAUAUAAGAGGGGUAAAAAGGUAGAUUUAACUCAUUCAUUUACCAGGGUUAAGUAUUCUAUUUAUGAUUAACUAUAUUUUUCUAACCGAUCCUAAUAACCGGGAUAUAUUUGAAAACGUUAGAACUUUUUUAGGGAUAAAAAUAAAAACUUGAAUUUUGUAGAUAUAUUUCUUUUAUUCGAUAUGUUUACAGAUAGCUAUAUGCAUAUUAGCCUUGAAAUAAAAUAAAAUGCCCAAUUCAAAAGUAUUAACAGAUCUAGAAUUUGCUCAGUUAGUGCCUAGCUAGUACUUGACCUUGACGAUGCAUCUGCUAUUAACAAUGUGAAACAGUCUGUAGCGUAAGUAGUAAAGGACUUGACGGUUGGUAUCUAAAGUUUCAAGUUCGAAUCAUAAUUAAUUUUUGAAACAAAAGAAAAUAAACAAACCAGAUAUAUAGAAAAAAUAAUAAGAGAGGCAAUAAUAUCACCACCCAUUUUAUAUAAAAUGCAUUUUGCGAGCCUCUAAUGUGUCGGCAAUUCAAAUGACUCUAUCAAAGGCCUUUCCAUAUAAAACAUAAAAGACCAAAACAUUAAUUCGCUCUCGAAGGUUCUCAACACAACAUAUAAGAAAAGAUCAAAAGAUUAAUUUGGACGCAUCUAAUAUAUAGCAGUUGCUCAGAUUUUUCUUGAAAAAGAAAAAAAAGAAAAACUUAAUUGCAUUAUUAGGCUGUGUCCAUGGUAUAUACCAUUUCAUGACAAAGUCAAGUCCGUAGUGGUGGCGUACGUACUUACGUACGUACGUACAUACGCUAUCUCAUGCAGGGGCGUACGUACGGUGGUGAGCAUCGAUCAUCAUUAAUGAGGGCACACGGAAAUGAAGGGCGGGAUUAUAGAGUGUUACGCACACAUUAUUAUUAUUAUUAUUAUCAUUAUUAUUAUAUUAUUAUUAUUAUUUCUACGUGUCUCGUCGACGUGACCGUUCCUUAAACUCAACUACUACGUGUGUGUACGUACAUGUAUUUCUCCUAUCUCUCUCUCUCUGUGUACAUGGCCGUGAGAGUACAUAUGUGUGUUUGACUCCUCUUAUUAAUUCUUAUUAUUAUUAUAUCCCUAUUAUUAUUAUUAUUUGUUAUUAUGACUUAUGGAGAGAGGGGGAAAUGCCUCGGAUUCCGUGCAAUGAGAAAGCGACGUGGCAACGUCAAACCAAAAUGCUCUUCAUCCUCCCUCUUAUUCUUGGGAUUGGUGGUGAUGUGUAGGUGUACACCUCUGUCUUUCUCUCUCCCUCUCUCUCUUGCUUUUUUUUUUUUUUGGUUAAAGAAAAAAAAAUCAAAGAGAAAAAAGAAAUUUAAUAACACAUGCACGCGAUACUUAAAAAAAAAAAUGAUCGUAAAUAGAACUGAAUUAGUUCUAACACCUAUAUAGAGUGGAUAUAUAUUUUUUGAAAAAAAGAUAAUAUACUGAAUAAAUUAGACUACAGAGAUGAGACAUUUAGGUAUCGUUUGGUUCGGGAAUAAACAAAAAGUGACUAUUUCAGGGAUAGGUAUAAAUUGAGAUAUAAGCGGAGAUUAGAGUUUGGAUGAAAAUUGGGUUAUUACUGGUAAUAAAAAAAAUAACGUUUGGUUAGAUAAAAUGGAAUAAGAAGGAUACUGGGUUUUAUAAAUAAAAAAAAUGAUACUACCCUCUUAUUGUAUUUGAAUUUUAAAUUUUUAAAAUUUUAAAUUUAUAUUUGCUUAUCCCCGAACCAAACGAUACCGUAGGCCUUCGAACAGGGCGGUACAAAAAAAAUUACAAUUUCGAAUGAAAUGAGCCAGCUCAAAAAAAAAAAAAAAUCUAAUCUAUCAAGUGUUUGAAUAAGUUCAUAUUAUAUUAUAUAUAUAUAUAUAUAUAUAUAUAUAUAUAUAUUAAUUAAUAUUCAUAUAUAGCACACUUAUAUCGGUCUUAAUUAAGACAUCAGUAUUUAGAAGUUAGACUAGUUCGAAAUUAAUAAUUGUCCAAUCCAUCAUUAAACGAGAAGGUUCGGUGCAUUAUUGAAUAGACCCCUUCUCAUACUAUUUUUUUUAAAAAAAAAUAAUUUUGUUUCUUUCCUUUUAAUACCAUUUUUGAGAAUAAAAAAUUAAAAGCUAACAAAUGUAUAUGGAGAAGGGCUAAUUAAUUUUUUCCCUUCUAACUUUUGAGUUCAUAUGUAUGUAUAAUACAAACACUACAUCCAUCCAAUAUAAUCUAAAUUUUUAUUUUUAUUUUUUCAACCCUUUCACUCUUUAAUUUUUUUUGUACAAGUGUGUAGUGUGCUGUACUGUAAAUAGGGGCCCCAACACUGUACGGAGAAGGGGGGACAAAACGGAGGGUUUCAGAAAAGGGAUGUGGGGGGCAAAAAAAUAAAUAAAAUAAAAUAAAAUAAAAUAAAUACAUAUAUAGUAAUUGAGGUGUACGUACAAGUGUGAUGUUUAAUAUGUUGAUGUGUGUUAUAUAUAUAUAAUAAUAAUAUUAUAUAUUAUUACUACACAUUAAAUACAUGCAUACAUAUCCAUCCGUGGACAUUGAGACGUCCCAUCAAUUCCCCUUUGGAUGCAUGUGGGUUUGAGUUGGCUCUCUCAAUCCAUGUGCUAAUUAAAGCGUUUCAUAUAUAAUAGAAAUGUAGAUUUAUACGUGUAUAUGUAUGCUCGGUAAUAAAUUAGAUCAUUCCCUAUAUGUAUAAGUACAUAUACUGUAUUCUUUUUAUUUAUUUUUGCUUGUAUUCAGGUAAAUAUAUAUUUUCCUCUUUUGGAGUGUUCUUCUUUAAUUAAUGCACGUUAAAAAGAUGAACCCUAUGAAUAAGAAUUAAAUAUAUAUAUAUUAAUAUUGAUAGUUUUUUAGAGCUAUGAGUCAUAGAAUCAGUUAGCUCAUGCUUAAUGGGUUGGAUUGGAUUUAUCUGUCACGGACAAUCUGAAAUUCGAUUCUGAAAACAACACUUAUCAUCGACCGAACCUGUCCUUUGAGCAUUCAAAGCAGUAGGGAAAAGCAUCCCCAAACUAGGAUCUUAUACGCUAUUCGGUGGCGCGUACAAGCUGUCUCAUCUGCAAUGCAAAAACAAAAUUGUCCAUUAUUUCGCUCUAAUCUGCACCGAAUGAGACAGUAAGUCCUGCUAGCAAAUGAAAUCGGACAGAAUUGCAUUCAUAACCAAAAUCCAUUACUAUUGUCGUAUCGAACAUGGAGUAGUGAACUCCAUUAUAUUUUUCCGAAAAAAAUUAACUCAAAACUUUGCAAAAAUAAAUAAUAAAAUAAAAUAAAUAUAAUAUGUGGGCCCAAAAUUUAAGCCUGAAACUAUAGUAAAUGGCCGAGCCUAAACGGGCCCGAUUUGGGCCUGUCCUCGUCUCAUCUAAUAAUGGUUAAGAGAGUUCAAAUUGGGCCGUUACCCAAAACGCCCGAACCAGCCCGAAAUAGCCGGUCCAGAGUUUUGAACCAGAACGGACCGGGCCGAAUUUUUUUUAAUUAGAAAACCCAAAACCCUCGUCGCUCCCUCCUCUUCUUCCUCCUCUCCUCUCCUCUCCUCUCCGCCGCGUCGCCAUGAUCGCCUCCUCCCUCCUCCGCUCCCUUCGGAGGCUCCCCUCCUCCUCCUCCUCCGCCCCUCUCCGCCUCCUCCUCCUCCGCCGUAACCCCUCUGCUCCUCCUCCGCUUCUCCCCCGCACCAAAACCCUCCUCCCUCCCCUCUCCUCCUCCCUCUUCUUCUCCACCGCCACCACUGACUCAUCCGAGACCCCCACCUUCGGCGGCGGCGGCGGCGGCGGCGGAGGGGGUGUGGGUCGCGUAGCGCCAGUGAUCCCGGAGGACGCUGUGGAGCCCGUGAGCUAUCGCCACACGGACGCGUACGCGGCGAUCGAGCUCGCCCUCGAUUCGGUGGUGAAGGUGUUCACGGUGUCGAGUAGCCCUAACUACUUCCUACCGUGGCAGAACAAGUCUCAGAGGGAGAGCAUGGGCUCCGGUGAGUGAGGGAUUUGGCUUCUAUGUUCCUGAUUUUGGUUCAGUUCGAGGAGCUCUUGUGCUGAAUUGGUUCAAAAAUGGAUCUUUUUGUUGGUUCCCUUGAUGAAUGUGGCAUGACAAGUUAUGAUUAUGUGUAUUAAUUGGAUCUUGGAUAGUGUUAUGAGGAAGUACGUUGGGAUUGAAUGAAUUGGAAAAUGUGAAUAAGCCGCAUUGUGUGGUUUGGGGUUUCACUUUAUGGUAAAAUAAAGUCUUUUAGAGAAGAUAUAGACAUAUUGUUAUGCAAUUGAAAGUUAGAUACCUUAAAGCUUCUGCAUUUUUAGCGUGAUUUAAGGAUGAGGAGAAAAUUUCUCUGCAUCAACAAGUAUGCAGCUACACAUUAGGAUCGAGAUUGGUGGCCAAAUGGCUCGUGCAUCCUACCACUUAAUCGGCAUGCAUUCAUGUAGUUAGAUUUGUUAAACAGUUUUCUUAUUUUGCUGAAUGAACCUGAAAGCUAUAGUGCAAAAAAUGUUUAGGCUUCUCAAUUUUGACGAUAUAUAAUUUUCCCAGUCGAGUAUAUAUGGUUUCUACUGUGAAAGAAAUAUUCGUUACCUGCAUAGUCGUCUCUCUUUCAUUAUCUCCUAUCACGCUAAUUGUCUUUAUCUCUCUAACACUGCCUGACAAAGAUAAUGCUGAAUUUGUGUUCUCUAUAAAGAUCUCAGUUUAUAAUCAAUAAGCAAAUUUCGUCCUUGCCGUUGGUUGAUUGGAAAGUUUUUCUGUAUGCCUAUGAUCUUCUUUUGGAUCCAUCUUUCUAGUUGUCUGCUUUUAAUUGUAAUUCCAAGUUGCCCGUAUAUUUUUAUGUCAACAUGAAGAUCAUCCCUUUCCCUGCAACUCCUUGCUCUUCGGUUAUAUAAAUUCUUAUCAACCAGUAAAAUGUUAGUUGACCUUUUGAGUUACCCAGGCUUAAAGUAGUUUAUGUGGGUUAAAUUUGAUGUCUUACAGGAUUCGUACUACCUGGACGACGCAUUUUGACGAAUGCUCAUGUGGUGGCUGAUCACACAUUUGUUCUUGUAAGAAAGCAUGGCUCGCCUACCAAGUACAAGGCGGAAGUACAAGCUAUUGGCCAUGAAUGUGAUUUAGCUCUUUUGACUGUUGAAAGCGAGGAAUUUUGGGAUGGGAUGAACUUUUUGGAGCUUGGUGAUAUUCCUUUCUUGCAAGAAGCUGUUGCUGUGGUUGGGUACCCUCAAGGUAUUAAUUCUAACAUGCAGCUGUUUACGAUGCUAAUGUCAGUUGUAACAUUGUAUAAUGCCAUACCUUUACAAUAAUCUGUGUGUGUGUGUGUUUGCGGAGUUAAAAGCAUUUUUUGAUGUGCUCAAUGUGCUUAUUUAUGUGUACAUGAAACUUCUGUUGUGGCACAGGCGGAGACAACAUUUCUGUCACCAAAGGUGUAGUCUCUAGGGUGGAGCCUACACAGUAUGUUCAUGGCGCUACUCAGCUCAUGGCUAUACAAAUUGAUGCAGCCAUCAACCCAGGGAACAGUGGAGGGCCUGCGAUAAUGGGUGAUAAAGUGGCUGGAGUGGCUUUUCAAAAUCUUUCAGGUGCGGAAAAUAUAGGGUGAGUUCUAUAUAAAUAGUUCUUUCUCAGUGUAUUGUAUCUUGGUUUAUGUUUUCUCUGCCAUUGUGCCUAUAUAUUUAGAUUGUUUUUCCAUUAAGUUGACUAUAAGUGGAGUGUAUGCAUUUGUUGCUUGGAAAUAGCUCCAAGUUCUUUUUUUAAUUUUUCUUUUUAUUUUUAACUGAUCCAUGGUUUUGUGGGUGAGAAUUUGUUGCAGCUCACAACAACUGUGUGAAUUUGUUUUUUACAUAAUAACUACUUUGAAACUCAUUUUUCAGCUGUACCCUGCAGUAAACUACUGACUUGAUGCUCCUAGUCCUCAUUCUAGUCAUUGUUCUUUUGCAGUUAUAUUAUACCAGUUCCAGUUAUAAAACAUUUCAUUGGUGGAGUGGAAGAGAAAGGCAAAUAUGUUGGAUUUUGUUCUCUAGGGUUGUCAUGCCAGCCUACUGAAAACAUUCAAUUAAGAGAGCACUUUAAUAUGCGCCCAGAUAUGACUGGUGUUCUCGUGAACAAAGUUAAUCCUCUUUCGGAUGCUCACAAAGUGUUGAAGAAAAAUGAUAUCGUUCUUGCCUUUGACGGUGUACCCAUAGCUAAUGAUGGAACUGGUAAGUUUAUAGUGAAAUUAUCAUGUUUUUUUUAAAAAAAAACAUUUCCUUUUUGUACAUUCUCAAUUAUAUCCAUGCAGUUUCAUUUUGGACGAGUUUGUAGGCGAUUAUAUUUUUAGACAAGCUAAGGCUCCAUUAAAGUUUAUCUUUCAUUUAUGGAGCCAUGAUUUGUCGGUCGUGAUUAUGCUUAUGCUUAUACUUUGGCAUGCUGUGGUAAAUGCAGUUCCAUUUCGAAACAGGGAGAGAAUUACUUUUGAUCAUCUUGUCUCUAUGAAGAAACCGGGAGAAACAGCUAUUAUCAAAGUGUUAAGAGAUGGAGUUGAGCACGAAUUUACCAUCUUGCUUCGACCUGUGAGUGUUAUCAGUCAUGACCAUUUUUUCAUUGUCCAGAUUAGUGAAGAAACGGAAUCAUUUUUAUGUAAUUUUGUUGCUCUUAAGAUUGAGAAGAUUGAACGAGCGUCUCAUAUUUUUGCUUAUCUUUUCCUGCAGUUGCAACCUUUAGUUCCAGUGCAUCAGUUUGAUAAACUGCCGAGCUACUACAUAUUUGCUGGUCUAGUUUUUGUUCCAUUAACCCAGCCUUAUCUUCACGAAUAUGGAGAAGAUUGGUAUAACAGUUCUCCACGUCGAUUAUGUGAACGAGCAUUGAGAGAGCUGCCAAAAAAAGCUGGCGAACAACUUGUUAUCCUUUCUCAGGUACUCUUUCUCGAGUUUAUUAGUUAUUGUUAUGUAUUUGAACAAUUCUCCAUUUAGAUGCACGAUCAAUGAACCUCGCUAGUCUUUUACGUAACUAAAAUGAAAUAGUUAGGAAGUUAAUUGAAAUGAAACAUUUUACGGAUCUAAUUUUCCAGUGGAAGCAAUUCUCUUGUGUAACAUCAUAACGGAGUUCUGCAUAAACUAUCUAAUAUCUUUCUGCAAAUAUUUUAUGAUUAGUAUGCAAAAAAUAUUUGUUUUUGGGGCUCAAUUGCUUUUCAAUUCCAGGUUCUCAUGGAUGAUAUAAACGCAGGAUACGAGAGGCUAUCGGAGUUGCAGGUAUUACCAUGUUCCUUCUCCGAAGUUGCCGUUCCAUAAACCAUUUUGAGAAAUAAGUUCAAUGUGCCAUCCAUUGUUCUACUCUUCCUUACCGACUAAUCAAAUGCUUUAAUUAUUCAAUCAGGUAAAGAAAGUGAAUGGCGUGGAGGUCGAGAAUCUAAAACAUCUAUGCGGGCUGGUGGAAAAUUGCGGCGAAGAGAGCUUGAGAUUCGAUUUGGACGACGAGAGAGUCAUCGUGUUGAACUACCAGAAUGCGCGAUUAGCGACCUCGCGCAUUCUGAGACGACAUAGGAUAUCCUCUGCAAUGUCCAGCGACCUAAUCGAAGAAUCCUCUGCGAUGUCGAGCGAUCUAAUCGAAGAACAGGCAACGAAUGGUAAAGUCGAAGCCGAGGUGGCUUGUUCCAGCUGAUGUCAAUUAGACUUGGCGAAGAGGAUUAACCUAUCAAAAUAUAAUACCAAUUUUUGUACUUGUUAUAUUAUUCUUCUUCUUAGGAUAUCAAGGUAGUGAGUAGCAACAUAAGAAUUUAGUCCCAUUAUUAUUAUUAUUUUCCCUAUUGUUGCAAUUUUAUACAAAGGACCCAUAAUGUGAGAUGUAUCAGUAGCAAUAUUUUGAAUUAUACUUGUGUUAUUUUCACCUAAAUGCUGCUUCAUUAAUUGCUACAUUCAUAUAUGGUGAAAAUAUGUUGUGGGUGGUAUAUUUUUGGAGAAGGUAAGAGUUAUACAUGCAAUUUAUUUUAGGUAAAAAUGCAUGGAAACCUCUUCAAUUGUUAACUCUUUUAGUUAACAAUUUAUUAGCUUUUUAUUUUUAAACUCUCCUUAAAUUGUGUGAUUUAUGUGGAUUAAAUUUUAUUUUUUUUUUUUGAAAUUUGUUAGUAAUUUUGUCAAAAAAUUUUUAAAAAAUCGCUCUCAAAUCACCCGAUCGACCCGUGUGAGUGGCCGUACCAAUUACUUGAACAACCAACAUUGCAUCAGAUCCUUCUUUCGAGGUUCUGUCGUCUUUCGUGGACCAGAUGCACCACAUCACUCAUGAACCUCCCAUCUCCUUUUUAAUCAUGCGGACGGUGGACGCGACGAAAGAUGAACGGAGAAAGCCAUUGGACCGUUCACGAAUGACGUGGUGAACCAAGCGCACCUAAUAAUACUCCUCCCCGUCACCUCCGUCGGGACCUCUCAAAUACCAUACACUCCCACUCCCACGAACACACUAACAAAAAAAAAAAAAGUUGUGUACUCUCUCUCUCUCUCUCUCUACAUUGUUGUGUUUAAUUGUGAUCAUAGCUCAUAGUUGUGGGAGGCGCGCGAAGGCGCGGUGGGGGCUAUCGCCGAUUUCGAGGAGGCUCCUGACAACGGGAAGGGACCUCAGGCCAGGCGGGCGGGACGCAGCAGCGGAAGAAGAAGAAGAAGAAGAAGAAGAAGAAGAAGAAGAAGAAGAAGAGAAAGUGAAAAAGAAAAGAAAAAGAAUGGUACAAAAUUCUCCUAAAUAGUACAACGUUGGUCUAAAGAGUGUAAAAUCCGUUCCAAAAGAGUGUAAUUUUUAUAUUAAAUAGUGCAAUUUUUAUUAAAACAGUGCAAAUUUAUUUUAAAACAGUAUAAUCUUAUUUUAACAGUACAAUUUCAUUUUAUUCUUCCUCCUUAUAUAAUUUUUUUUUUUAAUUUUUUUCUUCUUUUUUUUCUAUAAUUUUUUUUUGUCACGCCUCUCCGCCAACGGCCACGGCACCAGCAACAAUGCCCCGCUAAAAACCCUCCGCUCCGAGACUGCGGCGCCACAGCGACCUCCACGGCGCCGAUGUCAGCGGAGAGGCGUCGUUGUCGAAGGCGGCGGAGGGGGCGAAGGAGGAGGGAGAGGGAAAGGGUGAGAAAGGCGAGCGAGAGUGAGAUAGGCGUCGUCAUCGGAGGUGGUGGAGGAGGGUCGGAGAGGGGGAAAAAAAAAGUCACAGCCCGGGCGAGGGUAAGGAUGCGUCGGACAAAACCGAAGCGGACCGCCUCUGCCUCCGCUGCUCUCUGGGAAGAGAAAGAAAAAAAGAACGAGAGAAAAAAAAAGAGGAGAGAGAAAAAUAUAUAAGGAUAUUUUGAUCAGUUUGCUGAAAAUCUGACUCGAAUUUGCAAAAUCGAAAAAGGUGGCCCACUUUUAUAAAAGCGCAAAACUAGUGGAUUUUUUAUGCAAAUUGGCCAACUUAGAAUCAUGGAUUGUUGAAGUAUCAAAAUAUGGCUUGUGGAUUUUAGGUAUGCACACUUAUCUGCAUACAUGCAUGCAAUGCUUGUAUUUUAGGCGCGCAUUCAUGGAUGCAUGUAUACAUGUAAUGUUUGUAUGCGUAUGUCUGUUCUCUCUCUCUCUCUCUCUCUCUCUCUCUCUCUCUCUCUAGACAUUUGCAUGUCCAUAAGCCCUUGGUCUCUCUUCAAAUCCUGAUUCAAAUCUGUAUAUGUGACGUAAUCCCUAAAUCCUAAACCCUAAACCCAAUAUACACUUCUGCAACCAUUUGUAACACCCCAAUAAUUCCACAUCAGGUGAAAAACUGAAUCUGAUUAGAAUAUAUGAGGCCUACACGCUAGUAAUAAUAACUGAAUUUAAGCAUUUUGGGCCGGUGGCUUAGGUCCAACGAAUUAUUAUUACUGGUGGGUCGGGUCGUUACACUAUUUUUCUUAAACAUUUUUACAAAACUUAGUAUGAUUUUUCUCAUAAUACAAUGAUAUUUGACUGUUUUCGGCCCGAAUCAGAGCCUACUUGUUUUUAUGAAUCUCGGAGGUUGAACUAGUGAGAAAAAGUUCUUGGCCUUGUCGCUUGUUUCAAUACCGAUGUACGAGAUCAUCCGAAUCCACUUUCAAUUAUACGAAGAUCAACCUUUCUACUUUUGUAGAAUAGGCGUCAAAGUCGAGUUCGCGAACCUCAUAAAUUUCUUAUUUUCCGACUUUCUGCUUCCAAAGGGCUCCUGACUUGUUAACAAGUUUGGUAGGCUAACAAGUUUGGUAGGCUAAAGUUGGUGAUGGAGCCAGUUUGAGCUACCCCCCUCCUUAAACACCAAAACAAACAAGAAAACCUAAACACGCUUUAGAGGCCCUGAUUUUGAUGUAAAUUAUAAAUACAGUAAAAUUAUAAAUAUAUGUAGUUAACAAUACAAUAAUUAUAAUUACAUGCAUCUUAUUUAGCUAGAUAUAAUAAAAAAUACUACAACUCUUAAUACUUUAUUUGGUUGCAUGCGAUCGAAAAAUAAAUUUAUAGAUUUUUAUUUUUUUUAUAUAUAAUAUGGUGAGAUUACCCCUGUAUAGGAGAGGGAAAAAAAAACUUCUUAAAAUGUGAUUAGAAAGGCAAGCUCACUUUUGUUUAAAAAUUACUAUCCAAAUGCUAUAGUUGAAACUGCGAUAAAUUUGAGUAUAGUUUUAAAUACUAUAGUUGAGAUUUUUUGUACCAUUACAACUAUAUCAGUUGAAUUUAAAUAUAUUAAAAUGAAUAGAGUCCGACUACUAUACUAUUAUGAUUACGAUCGUCCUCGUACUCAUAAGUUGGUUUCGAUGAUAGAGCUUCCGAAUCGACGAUCAAAACCGUUAAACGUUAUCUAGAACUUUCGAAACAUCUAGAAAUCAAAUUUCAUAAUUUUUCGACAUCAUUUACCUUACGAUGAAAAGGUCACAAAAUUGCCAAUGUUUAACGGCCGGUAUGGAAUACUUGCUAGUUUAACGACGCAAAAGAAUUCGAAUAUAUUGAAUUUUUUAUAGAAAAUUCUAUUCACUACCUAUAUGAAGAUCAAUAACUCCGAUCUUAAAUUAAAGGAUCCGAUCAUCUAUUUUUAAGACAUCAUUCGCUUUUGACUGUUUAUUUUAUGCCCACUUGAUGGACUUUAUUACAAUUUCAAAAAAUUACGAAAUUUAUUUUCUAGAAGUUUCAAAUAAUCUAGAUCAUAUUUAACGGAAUGAAUCGUCGAUUCGAAAAUUUUAUCAUCGAAAAUAAUUUAUGAGUACGAAGAGCUCAAUACUCGUAACAGUAUAGUAGCGCUACUCAAAUAAAUAAAUCAAAUUUAAAUCUGCAUACAGUUUCAUUACAUGAAACCAAACAGUCCUUUCAAGGGUACCAAUCACAUGGGUUCUCUUACCUCAUAAACCUCACCCCAAAAUAAAAAAAGAGGAAAAAAACAGUGAAAAAGCUUUUUGACUUAUGAUCCCAGUACCAUCAAUUCACACAUUCCCAUAAAUUACAUCUAGAAAACACUGUUUAUGGAAUGUUUUUAAUGUUAUUCUAAAAUGAAAGAGACCAACAACAUGAUACUAACAUUACACAUUCUCAAAUUUCAUAUUCAUUGCUCUGCGUUACUACAUUGGUAUUUUGACUUAUAAUAAGGUUCAUAUUCCCAUGCAUUUUAUUCAUUAAUAAUAAUAAUAAUAAUAAUUAAAUCAUCCCAUAUGAAGCAAAAAUUUGGAAAAUAAUACUCUUUUAAUUUAUUUAUGAUGAUAUAGUUACCAUUUUACAUACCAAAAACAACCUAAUUAAAACUCUAUUUCUCAACAUCUUAAUAAAAGGUCAUAGAAUGCAUGAGUAAUAGGACAAAUCAUCAUACCAUAGUGGCCAAAUUGAAAAUUAGUAGAUCGAAUUGCAAUUUAAAGACAAAAUUAAUGAGUUUUUUUUUUUUUUUUGGUGAUUUUAGCCCUUGUAGUUUGUCUAACAAGCAAAUAUAGGUUACUCAACAGAUGAAAACAUGAGAGAGAGAGAGAGAGAGAGAGAGAGAGAGAGAGAGAGAUUCUUUCUUUAAAAAAAAAAAACGUUCAAUGAUAGGUCAAGAACAAGGACAAAUCCCACAGAGACAAUUCCUUUGAUGGCCAUACCCUUUCAAUAAAAACAAAACAAAAAAAAAAAAAAAAAGGAGAGAGAGAGAGAGAGAGAUCAACAAAACCAAAAAACAAAAACAAAUUAAACUAAAUAAACACAAAAAGAAAAAGGAAAGAGAAAAAAAAGAAGAAAACCCUCCUCCCCCAAUUCCACAGAGCCGAGCCUUUUACAAAAACCUACCUUUGUCCUUUAACCCUACGAUUCCGCCACCCUCCGCCCUUCCCCUUCGCCGCGCCGCCGCCGCACCUCGGCUCCGUUCGCCACCGCCUCGGCGGCGGCGGCCGGCGGAGGCGGAGGCGGAGGGGGCGGGGGCGGAGGGGCGAGGCUCCCGUCGACGCAGGAGGCGCAGCGGCGCUCCACCCACUCCUCCAGGUCGAAUCCGCCGCCGCCGUGGCCCCAGAUGCCCCGCCCGAAGCAGAGCCGCCCCACGAUCCCCGCCGCCGCCCCGAGCACCGCGAUCACCGCCAACACCGCGAUCAGCGCCCCCACCGACCCGCCCCCUCCGCCGCCGUGCUGCGGCGGCGGCGGCGGAGGCGGCGCCGCCGCCUCCAGCGGCAGCGACAUCGGUCGAAACCCUAACCCUAGAAAAAGGUGCGACUUUUAACCGGUGCUCAGCCCCACAAUGUCGCCCCCCUAAAAGAAAAAGGAAAGGGAAAAAGUAGAGGGUUUUGGGAGAGAGAUUUGAGGCGGGGGAUCUACUACGCCUUUUUGGUUUUUGGUGAGGGAUGUGUGUGUGGAGAUUAAAGAACCAAAGUUAGAAUCUUCUUAAAAAUGUGAUCUUUGUGGGAGAUAUAGAGAGAGAGAGAGAUAGAGCACAAAGGAGAGCUCUCCCAUGGAGGUUUUUGGGGGAGAGUUAGGGUUUAAAGAGGAAGAAGACGAAGAAGAGGAGAGGGAGAGGGAGAGGGAGAAGGAGAAGAAAAAGAGAAACGGAAAAAAAGGAGGGGUUUUUAUUUUAUAAUUUUAUUAUUUUUCUCUCGAAGGUGAUAACUUUAUGGAGAACCCCCUCAAGUAUAUUACAUUUUGAAACAGAUCCUCCGACCAUAAACUAUUCGCUUUGUAUCUAAAUUGAAUUCAUAGCUUUAUUUGCCGAAAAGUACUUAAAAUAACUAAAUUAAGUUGUUUGUGGAUAAGUUACAAAAUACCUUAUAAUUGAGGGGUUUCGUGGUAUAAAUUUGACCCUUUUUAUUUUCACUAAUUAAUUAUCUCUGCGGACUUUUGUCGGAGAGCUUCGGGUGUUGUGUACGUGAAUUGUUGGGAAAAAAAAAAUGUUCGAGCUGUGAUGGGCUCGAUUGUUGCCACGUGGCAGAUCAGACGGUUUAGAGCGAGGGAUUUAGAGCGGGGUACAAUAGUACCAUGAAUUAUUGUGAUUGAAUAAAUGUUAUUAUAUAUGGGUUUUUAGGAGGAGAUUUACUUAAAAGCAGUGUGUCACACUCUCUUUUUUAGUACCUUUUUUUUAAAAAAAAAUAUUUAAAUUUUUUUUAAUAAUAAUCGUAUUGUCCUUAUUUGAGAAAAAAAAAAGUUAGUGAGGAGUAAUUUACAAAAAAAGGGUAAGUUUGUAAUUUUGAUUUGUUUUGGGCUUUGUUUUUUUGUAUUAAAAGUUUAGUUAAGAUGGUCCCAGAAGGACUAUUUAAAUCUUUUGACACUUUUUUGAGCUUUUGCAGGAUCCGUGGGAUCUUCAACUUUGGCAGAUUGUGGACCCGGUCUAUGAGAAAUUCUCCAACUCGGUCUACCACGUCAUCGUAGACCGGAAUUUCGGGCUCAUUUAAUGGUAGUGGCGGCAAAUUGGUGGGUGGGGUUCGGGUCCAGGUUCAGAUUCGGAUUUGGUGAUAUCUGAGCAGAGGCCACACAAGUCAGAGUGCGAGCACUCGACUUAAUCCAUCGAAGUAUUUUAAAUUUGAGCUCGAUUCAAAGUGAUCAGGCCGAUUCGAAUCGGGCACAGUAUGUUUUGCGGGUAGGGGACUAUAUGAUUUGCGAAGAGCAUUAUCCUGCGAUGUUCACGAACAAUCGAAUAAGGUUCAGGUCAUUUCGAAAUUUGAGUCGCUUCGGGUGUAGGGUUUGUUGGGCCCGUUUACUUCGUUUCGGGUUUUAGUAGUGCGAUCGAUACCGGGCGAAAACCGUGUAUCGACCCAAACAUGACCGGGCCCGAUGGGCUUUGUUUAGGGUUCACUUUGCGUGCUUAAUUAAACUUUCCGGGCUUGAAUUUAUCCGGCCCAAAAUUCAAAUUGCUCUACAUGCAUUUUUUUUUUCUUUUUUUUGAUACACAAAUUUGUACUACGUUCAAUUUGUAAUUUUCACUUCAUUUCUCAAUUAUUUGUGAUGAGAUUAUAUAGUUAACAAAUAAGCUAAUGAUGAGAUCUCCAAUCCUUCAUAUGUAUUUAAACCCAUGAAGGAUUAUACAAUUAACAAGUUUACUUCUAAACAAGAAAUAGUAAUACACUACAUAUUAGUAAUAAAGCACAAAUUUUAACUACAAUUAGGGCGUGUUUGGUUUGCUUCUUUUUCACCCUAGAAUCGGAAUUGGAAUGGGUAAAUCCGUUUGUGAGUGUUUGGUACGCGAGAGUCCCAUUCCGAUUCCGAUUCCCGAGUGGAAUGGGAAUCCCCCAAUCACCUCUUUUUUCAAUCCGGCCUAGGGGGCCGAAUUGAAAGUUGAAUUGGGACGGAAUGGAUAUUUAUUCGGAUUAAAUUUAUUUUUUUAAUUUUUUUAAUUAAAAUAUGAGUUAAAAUUUAAAAAUUAAAUAUAUAAUUUUAAAUUUUAAUUUAAACUUAAAUUAAAAAUUAAAAUUUAAUCAAGUAUUUCGAAUCUAACUUAUGGAUUUGAAUUUAAAUUAAUAUAUUAUAAAGAUAAUGUUAGUAUAUUAAUUUGAUUACGUAUGUUUUUUAUAUCUACCUGAACCAAACACCGACAAUGGGAAUGAUUUAUUACGAUUCCGAUUCAGAUGAUGAACCAAACAUGAGUCAUUCUGAUUCCUAUUCUAGCUUAUUUUGAUUCCGAUUCCAACUUCGAACCAAACACGCCUUUAAUCUAGGUAUUACAAAUACUGAUACGAAACACGAUACGACUCGAAUACCACGACUCAGUAGCUUCCAAAAUAGUAGGAUGUGGACACGGUAUAUAAUUUAUUUUUUUUUGAGAGACAGAUAGCAUGCUACUCGCUUCGUUUAUUUUUUUUAGAAACAAACUUAGCUGAAAAAAUGAAUCAACUAGGAUACAACACGGUAUAUAAAAUAUUAAUUUGGUUAAAAUAUAGUUAUAUUUCUCAUACGAAUUAAAGCUAAUAAAAUUUUAAUUAGUAGUUCAUAUACUUUAAGAAAAAAAAAUUCCUACCUACGUAACUUAUUUAUAUUAUCUAAAAAAAAUUUGUAUGCAUUCAACAAAUUAAAAACUAAAAUACUUAUCAUCUUAUAUUAUAUAAAUAUACAAAAGUAAAAUAAAAAUAUUUAUAUAUAUUUUUUCAAUUGUAUGCGCUGUCGAUCUAUAUUGAACGCGUAUCUAAAACCUACGUAACAUAAACACACGAGAUUUAUAGAAGCGCCCGUGAUACAUAGCUACAAACUCAUGCGCAUACGUGGUUAUCAUGCACCAGUGAUGCAUGAUAACACGCGCAUGCUUCCGAACCUCACAACAUGCUUAUCGACGGUGACGUCGCGGCGACCUCCGAACCGCUCCGACGAGAACAUCUUCUCGUCGGCAAAGUGGUCGAGGGAGCGGUGGCGCCGUCGGUAGUAGUCCUCGCGAAAGCUCGCGAACUUUCGGGGCGGCGAUUGCGGGGAUGUUUGCGCUUGUCGACGUCGGGGAUCGGAGGCGGCGGCGGCGCCGGAGGAGAGGCACUUGUAGUACAUGCGAGUUCUCCUUCUCUUGAUUGUUUUAUAGAUGAAUGGAAUGAGACCUUCCAUUGUUGUUGUUGUUGUUGUUGUUGUUGUUGUACGUUGUUGUUUUGGUGUGUGAAGUUAAAGGGAAAUGAGAGGGUUUGUUAUGUAUUGGGUUUGAUCUUUUUUAUAGUUGGGGGAAACUACAAAAAGUUAUGAAAGUGGACUUGGUUUCCAUGUUGUUAAACUUUUUUGUAUUUCUGAAUUGUUUCUUAUUAUAUCGAUCUUUUAAAUAAUAUGAUGUAUGAAUAAGAGUGUUAAUUAAAUUUGUUACUAUAUAUUUUUGACUAAGUUUUAUUUUUAAAAAAUAAACUAAACGAACAGCUUGUUAUCUUUCCGGAAAAUAUAUAUAUAUGCGCUUCUUUUGGGUAUUAAUUUGAAGUAAGUUAUUGUGAGGUUUAUUGUUUUGGCUUUUUGCUUCUCCUAAUUAGCAUGGAAUUAAAUAGGAUGUUUCUUCACAAAUAUAAAAAUUAAGGAAAAAGAAAAAGAAAAAUGAAAAAUGAAAUUUCAGUGGGGUAUACAUGCAUGGAACAUGGAUUAAUGGGUUGAGGAACAAAAUAAAAAUGGUAUGGCUCACUUUGACACGUUCAAUGAGUAUUUAAUCUUUUUUCCUAAAGAUAUUGAGUUGGAAAUGGGUGCCUACAUGCAAUAAUAUAUGCAUCAACUUUAAUAAUUUUGCCUCGAUCACCUUGUUGAUCAUAUAUUUUUCUUUGCAUAUUGUACAACUAAAUACAGUAGAAUUAUAUUUUAUUUUGUGAUAUCAUUUUAUUAACCUUUUGUUUUAUCUGAAUCUCUCUAUGUCACUAUUCUACGUUUCUUUACAUGCAUAAACCUAAUUAAAGUGAUUUUUUAACAAAUUUUUGUAGUGGUAUAUAUCUGAUAAAUUGAUUGUAUUCUUUGUAUAUUUUAUGUAUGCUUUUUUUUUUUUUCUUUUUGGUAACAUAUAUAAGGUAUUAGCAACCUGUUGUAGUACUACACGUAUUUAUACAUGAAAACAUUUGCAUGCAUGCAUAAAGAAUCUCACUGUUGAUCUAGUUGUUGUUGUUGUUGUUGUUUUUAAUUUUUAAUUUUUUAUUUUUUUUAUUUUUUUUUUUUUUUGUUUGGGUACAACAUGCAUCAUGCAUGCCUUCGUGACAUGUGAAAGGCUAUUAUUGAUGAAAAAUUCUAGAAUGCAACGGGUAUAUUAGUGACGUGGCGUAACAAACCAAUCAAAUUAAUCCUUUUAAGAAUAUAUGUCCCAUCAUGAUUGUAAAAAAAUAUUUUUAUUGUACUUUUGUUUGAAAAGAAGGAAUGUAAUUGGCUUGUUAUUGAUGACGUGGUGCAAGUGUGACAGUGUAGAAUUCCUCAUUAUUGAUCAUGGUGCCAGCCAAUGUAUUAUAUUUUAUGCAUGAAAAUAUAAAAUAUUACAUCUCCAUGAUGGAUAGGUCAAAGUGAUCUAUAAAUGUGAUGUGAUCAUUUUGGUUUAUUUGUUCAAUCCUAAUUAAUGUUGGUUUGAUUCUUCUAGGUGUUGGGCUAUAAUUUAUCGCAUAUUUUAGUCUCCAUUUGUGAUAAUAAUAUAAAAUUAAUUAGAAGCUAAUUAAUGUCACUCCUCCAAUUGGAUUAAAUAAACAAGUUAUGUGAAUUAAGCUGCACUUAUGUUAAUUUUCACAUUAGUGCCUCGUGGUUUUAUUUGUGGUUUCAUUUGUUUCACUUAUACAAUUCAAAUCUCAAUUCUAAAACUUGUUCAAUUCAACGUACCCGACCUAAAUUUGAUACAAUUUGAAUCGGGUUUGGAUCAGGUUGAUGGGUUAGUUUCGUCGAUAGUGUCAAUCACUUUCGUAAUAUUUAGUUAUCACUAAUUUCAAUCAAAUGGUUGUUGUAGAAAAGAAGACUUUUGUAAUCUAGAAGUUUCUAGAGAGAGUGUCAAUGCAUUAUUUAGUAAUGGAUAAACUUCAAAUACCAUUCUUAUGGUUUCGCACUUUCUCACUUUAGUAUAUUCUGUGGUUUAAAGUGUAUCAAGUUAGUGUCCCGUGGUUUCAUUUUUAAUUUUUUCGUCAGUUUUUUUGUUAAUAUUUUAUUAAAUUAUAUACAAAAAACAUCGAAUACCCCACCUAAAUUUAUUCAGUAUUUACUGUAGUACUCUUUAGUUUUAACUUUGUCACUGAUUUAAUAAAAAAAUUAGUAGAAUCGAUAAUAAAGAGAUAAAAAUGAAACUACGGGGUACUAAAUUGAUACACUUUAAAUCAUAGAAUACUAAAGUGAAAAAGUGUGAAACUAUAGGGGUGGUAUUUAAAAGCAUGCCCUUCAUCAUUAUUUACAUCCACUAACCCCACACUAAUACUAUCCUAACCAACAAACUAAUAUUGAAUGAAAAUUUUAAUAUUUACAAAAUGCUCUAGAACAAAGCAUCAUUCAUGAAAUAGCUCUUUUAUCUCAACAAGUCACAAACAUAAUUAGUUAAACAACUAAAUUUGUCUUUUCUAAAGCCAUUUUGGAUCUUUUUCAACAAUGAGGUGCAUAUUUGACCCAUUAACAAAAGGUAAUGACUUACUUGUCCAAAUUAUGUUAAAGUCAAAAACUUGAUGUAAGAUUACAUUUUCUUUCAUAGACAUAUACAAUCUAAACUUUGACUCUUAAAAGUCUUUAACCAUCUUGUUUUGAUCAAAAACCCCUCUAAAAAUGUUGAAAUGUUGAGCCUUUUUAGAUUAAUCAAUAUACCAAUGAGGACUAAGUACCAAAUUUCCAAGUUCUCUUUGGACUUCAUGACUUUUUUAAGUGUCCCAAAGAAAAGAAUAUUGUUUUUAUUUGGAAAAGAAAGAGUAUAAAUAUUGUGACCGUUAUUGCCAUUUUCCAAGUCAAAUAUAUCUUCUUCUAAAAUUAAAAGAUCUAAUGAUGACCCAUUAGACCAAUGAUUCCACCAAAAUAAAAAACAAUACAUCAUUUCUUUUAUUUGAGAGGGGAAAAAAAAAAAAUAGUAGAGCACUUCACCAUCCUAAAUUUCAAACUGGAAAUUGCGACAAAGUGUAGCAAAAUCAAACCACCACAAUUCAACAUUAAACAUAUUAUUAUAGCUUUUGCUUCACAAACUCUCCACCUCAUACAACAAAAAAAAAAAGAAAAAAUAAACAAGUAAUCAAUCUUAAGAAUCCAGCUGUGUGGAUCAACAUAAACAAAUCAAAGAACUAAGAAAAGAAUAUUUAGGUCACUUGCAUCAAUUAUUCUUCCUGUUUGAUCACUUACCUGAGUAUAGAGAGAGCCAACAAACUUUAACAACAUCUUACAUGCGCGAUUACAUCAAUUUGUUAUAACCCACUUGGAUCCAUUUUGAAUAUUCCUUCAACAUAUAAUUUACAAUCAGAGUUUGGAUUAAACAAAUUUGUCUCGGAAGUAAUCUGACUAUUUCAUUCUUUGUCAACCGACGAAAAUUUCAGCUUAUGAUGUGUUUCUUCCCCUUCCUUGGUUCUGCGGUAUACAAUUUAUAGUACAAUAUCGAACGUGUCGCACGCGAGGCACUGGAUGUAUAGUGCAGUUAAUCCGAACUUGGUCUCCAUACAAAACUUUGGUGCUGCUUUGCAUCCUCUAUCUAAAUGCUCCAAGUGCGCUUCCGCCAAUCGAUCUCGCAAGUAAUCAAGGUUAACCUGAUGGAACAAGUCGAAACUAAUGUGCAAAGAAUCUUAUACGGAAGCAAGCUUUUCUAAUCAUACUUCUUUUCAAGAAAAUUGAUGUCCUACACCCAAAUGAGAUGAAAACUAUCAUAUGUUAAACAGGAAAUUUAACAUAUAUUUUCCUAGAAAAAUCAUCGACUUACAUAUACCCCUGAAAUUGAGGGUUUUUCUUUUUUUUUAAAAAAAAAACCCUUAAUCUUAAGUUGAGGAAUCAUCUAAUUCAUGGAAGAAGCAGGUUUUUGUGCUGGUAAAAGUUUUCUAAUGUGAGGUUUAGGAAGUUCAAGUGUAUUAAUGUAAGAAAUUAGCUUUUGAAGGGCAUACAAGAAUUUCAAAUUUAGAGUGGAUAUGUAUGUAAACAUAUACUUCCCAGGGGUAUAGGUGUUAAGUAUAUCCUUGUAUAGGUGCUAAGUAUAUCCUUGUAUAGGUGCUAAGUAUAUCCUUUGGGAAAGAAAGGUAAGAAUGGGUGGGAAGAAACCUUAUCGGUUCCUAGGUCGAGGCGCAGCUUGCAAUGACUACAAAAUAUGAGGUGAUGAGUUUCAUGUAGCACUCCUUGUUUGCAGAUCGGGCACCAUACUUUGUCAUUCUGGGCAACCUAGCAUUAACAUUUCUCCCAUCAAAGGCUGCUAAGAACAAAGAGGUGCAAAGUUCACAAUAUGUGAACACUGAAAUGCAAAACUAGAGAAAGAAACAAGAAAAGGUAAAAGAUAAAAACGAUGAGAUUUCUAAUAUAAAAUCAAAGCGAAACAACCAAAGGUGGUAUCUUGUAUGCUGAUUUUUAUGUCCUGCCUCAACAAGAAAAAUAUGGUAUUCUUCUUAUCAGUCCCACUCAUUGAAAUCACACAGUGCGGCUACAAUCUCUUGUGAGAAUUGACAAUUUAAUCAAAUAUGUUUUCAAGUUUAGUUAAAAAUCAGAAGUGAGGAGAAACCAAUCUACAAAUAAAUUAAAAGACUUUAAUAAUGAUCAUAAGAACUGUUCGUUCGAUGAAUCCAAUUUCAGCGUAAGCAACAUUGUAAAUCAAGAGAGGUGUAUUUUUUAUUAUAUAUGUUACACACGGUACGAAUAAGUAGGAUUAGAAAAUUGGAUAGUGAGUAUCUGUAGGCUAUGGCUGCAAAUUUGCAAUUACAUCACUGUGGUGUGGUCACAAAAGCAAACAUCCAAAAGAGUAUGGGUUACACUAACUUUGUUCAUUUUGCAUACCUGUGUAUCAUUUAACUGCAUGUGUUCGAAAACUUCUCGAGCUAAGUAUGCAUCUUCUUCCUCAAAAACCUCCAGUUCUGUAACAUUCAGCCAGCCUUUUAGUAGAAAGAUUAACCAUUAUGAUGCAUAUACAGCAUGAAGAACCUAUCUUAUUACUACAGCAACUAAAGCAUUUAAAGCUAAGAAAACUUCGUGAAGGUAGCUCAGCAUCCAAUCUUGACUCUGAAACUCCUAACUUCAACUAGCAAGUCCAUACCAAGAUGAAUAGUCAUGCAAAAGCAUGCAAAUCAACAUUUCGAGCUUCUGUAAUAAGGAGUGUCAAUGGCAAAAGAGCUUCCAUUGCCAAAUUGGACCAAGAAACAAAGAACCGAGAUCACAAGUUCUCUGUAAUUCGAAGUCAUGUGCCACGGAAGUAUUAGUAGGACUCCUGCUUUCAUCUGGACAUGCAGUAUUCGCCUCCUCUUCAUCGACUAAGUCAAAAGUUCUUCAAUUAAAUGAGAAAAAUUAUUGCUUCACCAACCGAGAGAUUAUUGAUUGGUCGAACGCAUCAGUCUCUUGCUAAUUGGAAAACAUUAGCUCAUGUAAAAUCAACCCAUAAACAAGCGAAGGAAACAGGAUGCAAAUGCUACCUCUUCUAAUCAGUUCCUCCCUCAGAUCCUCAUAGAGAAGCCUUUCCAUUUCUAGCAACAGCUCUUCACUUUCAGUCUCAGUUGUGUUAACUACAGGGGGGCCGUUGUAUUCCCAUAUUACAUCUAUUUCUCUCUCCUGUUUUCCGCUCACGGACAACUCUUUUAUUUUCUGCAGCUCAUCAGAAACGAUGUUCCGGAAUGUGGAUUCCACAAUCUCCUGUUAAAUGUUGGAAACAAUAAGCAGCGUAUUCAGAACAAAAGGUUGAAGAUAAUGCCCAAAUUAGACAGUACAACCAAUUCAGCAUCAAUAAUACUGCUUAGACAAGUUCAAUAUGAUUAAAUUCUAUUCAUGUAUUCAUGAUCUACAUGGAUUAAAAGAACUAAGAAAGUUGUAUUAACAAACUUGAACAUUGUAUCAUAUUACAUCAUAAAAUUAUUUAAAUCCAUGAAGCAAACUACACUUUCAACUAUUUGCCCUACGCAGCACACAGAUCAUAAAGGUUUAAAUACAACAAAAUCAAACCUUUUCAUUUCGGGCGUGUUGCGCAUCCGUCCUAAUUUUCCAAAGCAAUUGAGUCCUCUCCUUUUGGACUCUUCUCAAGCAAUUUUGCCUCAGCUGCAUCAGUCAAAGUACAGUAUUUUAUAACCGAUGACGCCAUCGGAGAAUACAAACAAAACCACCUCAACAAACAUAUGCGUGUUCAUGAGAAAUACACCUUAAAAUGGAAAAAGUAUCGCCGUUAUGCAACAAUGUCUUGUUAUAGCUCGACAUGAACGUGUUAUUGAACACAGUAACUUUUGUUCUAUUCGAUCUUACGCAGUUCUUUUUUACUUCAAAAAAGGCGACAAAAACGAAUUAAUGAUUGGGGAUUCAGUAACAAAUGAUACAAAAGAUGCAUCACAUAGAGUAGUGUCAUCAAAAUACUCGCAAAUGUAUAGUUUGGAAACUAUAGUAUUAAGCAAUCCCAAAAAAGGGGAUUAAUUACAGCAUAAAUUCCCGUAUGUAGUUGGAUUCUUCAAAUCCAAAUGCCCUUGAAUUCGUAAACACAAUCAGAUUAAACAAACAUGAAUUACCCAAUCAAACAGUUAUAAAAACAGGAACUAAUAAUCAUCAAAUUAAGAUAUUUAAUCGAAUAAUAAUCAGAAAAAUGGAUUAAAAAAAAACAAAAAGAGGGAAAUCGAGAGACCUCCUCCUUCCAAUUUGGGGGUUGAUGAGCUUUGAGAGGCGCUCUUCGGGGUCGAUUCCCAUCCAUCAUCGGAUGUCGCUGAGAUUCGAGCGACUCGAUUCUGAUGAUCACUAUGCACACACUCCUCUCUCUCUCUCUCUCUCUCUCUCUCCUUCUUUCGCGCGCGCGCGAGCGCCCUUUCCCGCGCUUUUGUUCAACGGCGAUGGGAGGGAGAAAUAGGGAGAGCGACGCCGAAGCGUUUCGUCGAAGGAGAGAAAGAGAGAGAGAGAGAGAGAGAGAGAGAGAGNAACCCUUCGGAGGAACGUAACCCGCCGGUACGGUUACCGCACCAUGUUCACCGCUUACGAUAAAUUGUUAUAUGGACCGUGGUCUAUAGACCGUAUUCUUCAGUCAAAAAUGCAUAACCUAUUGUCUGUUUGUUUAGGCUUAGGCUUAUUUUAGUAUUGAGAUUUAUCUGAAGCUAUUAGAUAAAAUAGAGUUAAGAAAAAAAUAUAUAGAAAUAUACUUCUGUAUUCUCCGGUGGAACCGCAAAAAAUAUAUCAUAACCGACUCAUUGAUAUACGAAACGUAAUAUUACAUGCGAAAACAAAUAGAAUAUUUUUUUAUUGUACUUUCUCACCGCAUAUAACACAAUCUCCCACAAUCCCAAACGAAGCCUUAGAGUAAAAUAGUGAGUUAAUUAUUUGCAAUUUAAUUUCGAAAUUGGUUUUUCUUCUGUAUAAAAAUAAUAUAGGAUGUUGCCAUAUUGAAUUAAAGUAAAAGAAAAAUUAAAAGAAGAAGUCGACGACUACAACGCAGUAUGCCAAAAUUGAAUCUGUGAUCAAUUCUGAUACCGCUUGUUGGAUCAUUAAAUUAAGCUCAUAAAAAGCAUGCAUACACUCCGUCCCGUCCCGACCUCCACCACAUAAGUAGGAUGCUGGCCUAUUUGCGAAUUGAUAUGUUAUCUCCGACGGAUAUGAAAAAACGAAGUAAAGAAGCUUCAUUUGGGCUAUACAAGCAAGUGUUACAAUUUGGUUGAUCAAUGUGCAGCAACAUGCUCUGAUCAGGGAGGAGAAACAUUACUCCGAUAUUUUACGCAAGCGAAGGGAUCUUCUCUUGAUUCUGGCCAGCUGUUUUCGCGAGGCAAGGCGGCCUCGCCGCCUUGUAGUAGAAGAACGCCAUUAUCUUCGACCACUCGUCUGCUGUUCUCGCAACUAAAAGGACAGGAGCAGACAGACACGAAGGUUUAACAAUCUCUCGCAACAGAUGUUAUCACCGAAAAAGAGUAUACUGGACCAUCAAAACACCUUAGAUUUGAACUUCCCAGUUGUGAAACUAUGCGGUUAAGUUAGGAGUCGAUACACUACCUUUCUCGCGGUGAAGUAUCUUCCCGGCUUUCGUGAAGAGAAUUUCGGGGAAGAGGGAUAUUUUCAGAGCAGAGACCAGAUCGUGCUCGACGCACGCAUCGAUCGCAACACACUGCGAUAAACUUGUUCUCAUCAGAAAGGCCAAAAGAGUUCAAACUUAGUACAGGUAAUUUGGUAAGUCGAGUUGUUUGAUCAGGUUCUUACUCUCGGCGAAGGCAACCCAGCUUGCCAAAACAUUUGCACCGCUUUCUCCAACUCAUUCCGCGCUUUCUCAUUCUCCUUAGGCCUGCAAAUCAUAUCGAAGGUUAUUUACGACUUUCGUCCUCAGCAAGGAUUGUCGUAUCAGUCGGCACGGUCUGCCAUGGGCUGCACGUGCUAUUCGUGCUUAUAAGCCCGUGUCGACAUAUAAAUGGCAUGUGUGCCGAGGAGUGUUGCAUGCCACGCCAUGCCGAUCGCAAAUUAGUACGCCCGGUGCCAGUGGCAGAGCAAUCCUUGAUCAUCGUAGUCCUAGUUAUAACAAUUUAGUCCUGAAUACGACUCCUAUUUCAAUUUCAUCCUCGGAAAUUAGUCCCUAAAGUUUGAUCCUAUUUUUUAACUGUUAUGCAGAAUAAACUUUAGGAAUUAUAUUGUUACGAUUAAAUCUCUUCUCGGGGGCAUUUCGUCGAACACCAAAUGAGCAACUGGUAAGAAACUCGACCUCUUGUAUCGAUUGUGCACGAGUAUGAUCAAAGGGUUGAAGUCCUUGAACACCGUAUCCUCCCAAUCGACGGCCGAGAUAUCCCUGAUCGGCCUGAUGUAGUCAUCAUCCUGCCACACGAUCUGCUUGUCACUGUCGUAACCGUCGUCAUCUUCAUCAUCAUCGUUCUCCUUCUUCGCGUGCUUAAUGGUGACCUUGUUGAAGAACUGGCCGAGAUUGAACCCCCGCCCAUCGGCGUCCUCGGGCCAAUCGGGAUCGUCCUCCUCCACCACUAACGGGUACUUCUCCAAAAGCUCCCGCGCCUUCGCCCUCCUCUCCUCGGGAUCGGUCUCCUCCGCCACCUCCGGGUUCGCGUCGAGCACCGCGCGGAUGCUCCGCCGCAUCUCCGCCCGCUCCGCCGCGCUCAUGAGGAACGGGGCAUCGUCCUCGUCCUCGUCGCUCGAGUCGGUGUCGUCGUCGUCGUCGUCGUCGUCGUCGUCUUCGUCGUCGUUGCGGUCGCGGCCGAGCACGAGGUCGAGGGCUUUGGAAGAAGCCCCGGGCGGCGGCUUCUGGGGGAAGUGCUUGUAGCGCGGAGAGCAUGCCAGGGAGAAGCGGAAGCCACUAGGGUUUCGAGGUUGCGCGCGCGAGGGAGGAAGGGGAGGGUGGGAGCGGAGAAGGGUUGGAGCUUCGGUGAGGCAUAGCGUCGAACACCUGGUGAGCAAGGGAUAAUGCAGAGCCAUUUUGCAACCGCUCUACCGCGCUACACAAGUACACAGUACACACUGCGCACCUUCAAUGCCUUAAAACAGUUCUCCUCGUAUUAGAAAGGAGACAUUGUUGCUGGGCCUGAAGUUCACCACGUCAGCCGUAUACCGCCCAAUACAUAACCAUAAAGAAUUUAAUAAACAAAAUGAUUGGAUGUUCUACAGCUGACGUGGUGAAUCGUGUCCAGCCAAAAGUUUCCCAGUUAAUGGGCCGGCCCAUUUAAAUUCCCAGGCCGAGAAUUGGGUCAAAACUCAGUUGGAUCAAAUAUUGGCUAGAUAUUUACCCAAAAUCGACCCGGCCCAAUUAGAAUUGCUUGGUCAAUGGCCCACUCUUGGAUCUCUAAAUUUUGUUCUCUCAACUCUCUCUAGCCAAGUAGGCUAGUAGCUGGUGGUACCUAACUCGAUUUUUUAGAUUAAAUCGAGUGCGAAUCAGCUAAAGCCCAAAAAUACUACGUUUUUGUGAAAAUUUAUUCAUAAUAAGCGUAACACAGUUGGACAAUAUAUCAUUUACUUUAUACUUAUUCUUUUUUGUAGUUUUUAUUCUAUAUAGUAUGGAAUUAUCACCAAAAGUGAAUAGCUAACAAGUUUGCAUGCAUGUACAAAUAUUACUACUCCAUUCCAUUUACAUCCAAAGAGGAGAAAUUAAAAUUGUCCCCCAUUUUCCUAAAUUGCUGUUACCACAUGCAAGGGGACAACCAUAAGAUCACAUGAUGCAUAUCACACACCCUAAUAAGAUCUCAACUCCAAUAUUUUAUUAGAUACAUUAACUUCUACAAAGAUAGUGGAGGUCACAAGGAGCACCCAAAUAAAAAGGAAACUCUUGUACUCUUGUGGGGUUGGACCAUAAAUAUAGUGAGGCCAAAUUAAUGGGAUUUAAAUGAAGAAUAAUUAUUCUGUUUUAGGUGUACAUUGUUUCUUAAUUUGUCUCAUGUUUAGGUUCAAUUCACAAAGCAAUUGGAUAAGAGCAUUAUCCUUGGUAAGGUUCUUAUCAACCAUGUCAUGAAAUAUUUGUGUGUCUUGGAAUUAUUGGGUGGUGUGUUCAUUUCUUAGCCACAUGAAUCACAUCCUAGGUUAGUUCCAAGAAUCUUUCAUUAAAUCACUUCAUCAAAAUUACAUCUUUGGAUUCAUCUAGUGAUAUAGAAAUAGAAGCAAAGCACAACAACCUUUAAAUUUUUAAAAAAAGAAAUUUGAAAAUAACAUCCUUUACAAAUUUUGUGAUAAUUUAGGACAUUUUAUUUGUUGAAAGAGAAAUGUAGGGUUAAUUAAUUAACAUCUCCUAUGUUAACAAUGACUCAAAAUCAUUUUUAACUUAGUUUCUACUUCACAUUCACAUUGUGUUCAUUGCAACUUCUAACACUAGGAUAUGAAAGAAAACAACUUCUUUAUGUUUGCUUAAUUUUGGUUCAUCUAGAAUUAUUUUUAUGAUAAUUUGGAGUGAUUUAUCCUUCUCCAAAUUCUAGAUGGAUUGGUGUACUGGUUGGAUUGAAUUCAAUGGUAUGAGUUUUAUGGAAAAUUUUCUCCAUUUUAGUUGGAAAAUAGUUGGGAGUUUGGUACUUAAUUACCUUUGCAUUUUUAUAAUUAUAACAUUUUUACUACAUCCUUCGGUCGAAGUAUAAUCAUCGUAUCAUCAAUUAAAAAUUACUUAUGUCGCAGUUAGAUGAUAAAUUUGUUAAUAUUCCUAUCUGAUUUGAUGAGGAUCUCAAUUAUAAGUGUAAGAUUAUAUAUGAAAAAGGUGCAAUAUUUAAGCGAUAGGAAUCGAUCAUUUGUAUCAAUUUAAACUAAGAUGUUGGGGUUGGGGUUUUGUGGCAUAUAUAAUCAAAAGUUUUUAGCCAUUUUGGUUAAGCUUUAGUCAAUGAUGUACGCACUUUAUCGAAUAAAUGCGAUUUGAUUCUCUUCUUGAUCUGGAUAGUUGAAUUUAAUGUUCGUCAUGUUAGAACAAAUAUUUCACCAACACGUCACACUCCGUUCUCGAAUUUUUAAUAACUAACGAGUAUUGUAAUCGUCGCAAUCGAUCUUCUAACCAUUAAAUUAUCAGCAAAACAAGCAAUUUGCCAUUGCUAAUAUUAGAUAAUUAGCAACUUGGCUUAGAUUACUUCUAAGAUUCCAGCUUAAGGAUCAUGUCUUUUUUUUGGCAUAUUUGGAGUAGAAUAAAGAACACGUAUGAGAAAGAGCGAAAGAGAUGGCUUCCACUUCUGUAAGAAAAGAGAAUCUGCGACUCGCAUGGAGUGCAUCGAAAUGCGUGCGGGGAUGUCCACUUGCAUGUACUAAUCUUGUAAGAAAAAUGAAGCAUGCAUGUAUUGGAAUAAGCUAUAUAUGUAGUAGAAGAUCUCAUGUAGACAAUGUGACAUCAAAUGAUAUCAAAUCCCUUGUUGAGAUUUAUAGCUCAACAAAUCUCUCAUUUGUCUCUUUCUUAUUCCUCAGCAUGUUGAUAUUAUUUUGAAGUAAAUUAAACACAUUUUUUGAUGAGUUGCAAAAGCAACACUUAGGAAUUUUAAAGUAAUUUAAAUUUGUCUUAACCAAUACCAACCACCUCGAUACACAGGCAUACGCCCGCGCGCACAUACACAUAUAUAGAGUCCGACUACUAUACUCGCAUUAGUAUGAAGCAUGCAUGUAUUGGAAUAAGCUAUGGAGUAGAAGAUCUCAUGUAGACAAUGUGGCAUCAAAUGAUAUCAAAUCCCUUGUUGAGAUUUAUAGCUCAACAAACCCCUGAUCAUUUGGCUCUUUUUAUUCCUCAACAUGUUGAUAUUAUUUGGAAAUAAAUUAAACACAUUUUUUGAUGAGUUGCAAAAGCAACACUUGGGAGUUUUAAAGUAAUUUAAAUUUAUCUUAACCAACACCAACCACCUCGAUACACACGCAUACGCGCGCGCACAUACACAUAUAUAUAUAUGGAGUCCGACUACUAUACUCUCAUUAGUAUGAUCGCAUUCGUACUCAUAAAGUCAUUUUUGAUGAUAGAACUUCCGAAUCAAUGAUACCAUUAAAUAUUAUCUAAAAUAUUUGAAAUUUUUAAAAAUCAAAUUUCAUAAUUUUUUGACAUUAUUUACCUUGCGAUCAAAAAAUCUCAAAGUUGAUAACUUUUAACUGCUGAUAUUGAAUAUUUGCUAGUUUUACGGUGCAAAAGAUAUGAAAUCAGUUGAUUUUUUUUAUAGAAAAUUUUAUUCACUGUCUAGAUAAAAUCAAUAACUCCAAUCUUAAAUUAAAGAAUUCAAUCCUCUAAUUUUAGGAGAUUGUUCGAUUUCGACUGUUUANAUUAUACUAUUCAACCAAUCACUCAUUCAAUUCUAAGAGAUUACUAUCAUUCUAACCGGAGACCAUUAUAUUUUAAUCGCAUAUCCUUUUAUUCACUGUCUAGAUAAAAUCAAUAACUCCAAUCUUAAAUUAAAGAAUUCAAUCCUCUAAUUUUAGGAGAUUGUUCGAUUUCGACUGUUUAUUUUAUGUCUGCUUGAUAGAUUUUAUUAUAAUUUCAAAAAAUAUAAUCUAUCAAGUACUUCUUUGUAUUGAGUUUUCGGCCGUUAGAUAAAAGGAUAUGCGAUUAAAAUAUAAUGGUCUCCGGUUAGAAUGAUAGUAAUCUCUUAGAAUUGAAUGAGUGAUUGGUUGAAUAGUAUAAUCUAACGGACAGAAAUGAUCAAAGGGUACUAACGGACGGAAAUGAUCAAAGGGUAAAUUUAACAGCAGAAAACUUGAUAGUAUCGAGAGCUUGGUGCUAUCCAUAGUAUAGUAGCCGGACUCUCUCUCUCUCUCUCUCUCUCUAUAUAUAUAUAUAUAUAUAUAUUGCAAUUUUGGUGUUUAAAAAGGCUCAGCUACAAAGUUGCUAAUAAUUAAUAAAGUAGCAUAAACCAAUGUCAUUUUUUUUCCUUCUUUUUUGGUUUUUUUGCUGAGCUGUGUAACACUUCUCAACUUUUGAUCCCAUAAUUAAUUUUUUGAUUAUGGUAUUCCCCUACAAUAAUUGAGAGCCCUUCUACAAUUUUCCCUGCUUAGCUUAGUCGACAUUGAUAUUUGAAAUGAGAUUAACACAUCUGGAGUUCGAUUCUUGUUAGUGUUUUUAUAAUAAGAAAAUUGAGUUUUGAAUGAUUAAAAUAAAUGAGAACCACAAAAAAAAAAAAGUUAAAAAAGAAAUGAAUCACAACCAUGUGAAUUUUUUACCUAAUAAAGAAGGGGUUUGGAACUUAGUCUCAAGUUUAGCUUUGCUUUUUUUAGACUUUUCAUACACACAAGCUACACCAUUUUUUAACCAACAAAUCCAACUUUUGUGGAGUUGUACAAAAAAGUUUUUUUUUAUAAUUUCUUUAUGUGUGGUAAUAAAUAGUUCUUUUAAUCUUUUAACAUUAAUGUCAUGUUCAAAAUUUAAAAGCUAAAAGCUUUGUUUUGGUACCAUGCAAUGGUAUUUUUUAUUUUCCUAAAUCAAAUUUGGCCAUGUUGGUGGAUGAGAAUAUUUUUUUAUUUCUAAUUUUUUACUAGCUUACUAUGCACCAUGUUUUUUUUAAAAAAAUCUUAUUUGUUACUACGUAAAUAUUUCUCCAUCUGUUCGCAAACUCUAUGAUAUCAAAUUCAUAUUUAAUGAAUACUAUGAUUGUAGAAAAUCUUUGAAUCACCUGUAAUAAUUCGCGUAUAAAAUUUGAGAAUUUGGAGUGCGAUUGAUGGAGACAUUAAUUAAUUACGUGACUUGUAUGAACUAUACUUUUUUGAUAAAUUUGAUACCAAAUUGAGGUUCCCAUGAUAUUAAUGGAUAUCCAUCUAUGUCCAAUAGUUAAGGUUCUUUACCCUCACAAAUUUAUACUAUUUGGAAUUAAUGCCCUUUUGACCAGGGAAAAGCCAUUCAAUCACAAUAAUUAAAGAACAAUUAACACCACCUCUUUUUUUUUUUCUUUUUUUUAUUUUGUUUUACAUGUUGCCUUAAUUGGUAGCUAAUGAAAAUGUUUGUGAUCCAUAUGUAACAUCCUUUCCUAGAUUAUUAUUAUUAUUAUUAUUAUUAUUAUUAUUAUUAUUAUUAUUAUUAUUAUUUAUAAUACCCAUUUUGGUCCCCCCAAGGUUCAAAUUUUCUUCUUUUAAUUUAUAAACUACAGCUAUUUUUUUUUUUAAACAGUGAGAAUGAAUGUUUACUUCUGAGAGUAGAUUAAAAUAAAAAAAAUAAUAUCUAAUAUGCUCAUCAAAACUUUUAAAAUAUCUAAUUUUUCUUUGUUGUUCAAAAUGCUCUUUUGGUUAAAAAAAUUCUUUCAAAUAUACCUCUACUCUUUUAUGUUUACUAAUGAGAUUUUUUAUUUAGAAUUAAGGUGCUUUAAAAAUAAAUGAUAAAUUGAAAAUUAUGAAUAAUUGUAAAAGGAACAGUUACAAAGUAUAAUAUGGUCUAAAAUGAAUGGUCUUUUUGGAUAUAUAGUGGGCGAGAGAUUUACAACCCAUGAUUGUGUAGUUCUUCAAUUCCGAUAACCGAUAAUAUAGUUUUUACUUUUUAGAUUCGAUUUGCAUCCACUCGUGGAAGUGGUCAUAACACAUCAUCUGGCUAUAAAAUAAAAAUUUAGAUAAAAUUUGAAGACCACUAGCACGCAAUUGGUCAUAAAUUGUUUUGCGAUAACUUUUAAAAUCUGAAAGCGCAUUUAAUGCGAAGUCGCAUAUUUUCUUUUUCCAUUAGUACCAAUAUCUGUUAGUUCGAACCGAAAAAAAAAAAAAAAAAAAUCUUCUAAAAGCAGGAUAAAAAAAAAGUACUAAUAAUAUAAUAAUAAAUGAUAAUAAAAGGAGUGGCUACAUAUGUGGCAAGGGAUUGAAAGGGACAGAAUCUGAUGAGUGUAGGUGCAGUUAAUUAAGCCCAGGGGGAAGGAACCUUGAGAAGCACUUUAAUGAGUGGCUUUUGGCUUCUUCCAAAAGAAAGGGAAAGCUCCUCAAGAAGAAGCCAUAUAAUUUCUCCACAUCAUUAGGUAACACAUCACCCCCCAAAUUUGUACAAUCACUGCUUUGGAUUAGAAUACAUUGUAUCCAACUCCCAACAUUUCAACUGCCCAACCAAGCUCCUUUUGUUGACCAUAUUAUGAUAUAUAUAUAUAUAUAUAUAUACACCAUAUUAUGAAAAUUUAAGGAGUUUAAAUUUAAGUUAUAAUCAUAAUGUUUUAAAACAACAUAAUCUAGAGCCCAUGCAUAGUUUUAUUAUUUCUCAUUUAUAUGUUCAAAGAGGGCCUUUUUUUGUUGGUCUCACUCCCACACAACCACCCAACACUUGCCCAUUUUAUAGGAAUAGGAUGUUAUUGUCAAGCCAAUCCUCGAUUUAGGAUACUCAUUUAUGUAGGCUUAGUGCGCAGAAAGUCUCUACACACCAACUGAUUUGAUCGUUCAUUUAAAGAUAGGGAUUCUUUUGACUGCUCACUUAGUCGGCUGCCGAACCGCCACGUAUAAUUGAAAUGCAUUCUAAAUUUUAAGUGGACACUCAUAUUGUUGGCGUACAAAAAUUUCCAACGCGUUGAAUAUAACGUCAUUAUCUGACAGUUCAAGCUUUUAGAGAUACGUAAUUUUUUGUGGCUUUCGUUCGCCUAUUCACUUCUUAAUAUAUAUAUAUUUCAAGAUUUUUAAAUUUAUUUUAAAAUUAUCAACAUACUCUUUGAAGAAAGAGAGAUUUGAAGGAAUUUUUCAAAAUCAAUAACGAUAAUUUAUUCCUCCAAAGAAUAAAUAAGAUAUUUUUAAAAUUUUACGAAGCAUAUUAGAUAAAAUUCCUUUCUUUUUUUUUGUAUGGAGUCACAAAAGAUUCUGAGUUUAAAUUCUGCUUAUUUUUUAAUGUAAAAAUGUCUUUUAUUUAAUUUAAGUUAAUGUCCAGCAGCUGUCAAAAGUUUUGUGCUGAUUUGGAAGAGUUUGGAGUGCAGAUCUGGAAGAGCAGUAGAACUAAUUAAUUUUUUUUAAAGAUAAAGAGUUUGCAAAGAAAUUUGUGCACCUGAAACCCUAUCAGCAUCACAGGGUCUUUUCCUUUUAACAUUUGAGCAUUUUAAGAGUGACUUGACAGUGGCACUUGUUUUUCCAUUUUUAGUCCCAUCUCCCACCACCUUUUCCCAUUCUUCCUCAUCUAUGCACAGUUGAACCCCCAAAUAUAAAAGAGAGAGAGAGAGAGAGAGAGAGAGAGAGGUGAUCUUACUCAACCAUCUUUUAAUAUAGUUUAGGAUUUUGGUUUCAAAGAGGGGGGAAAAAUAAAAUCAUCUCAGAGGAACUCCAGGUGAUGCUUGCUCCCAUAUUUGUUUCUUAUAGUUUCUGAUAACUUUUUUUUUUUUUAAGAUUUGGAUUUAGGAUUGCUAAAAAUUCCAGUUUUUAGAUCUGCAAGGAAAAGUUAACUUCUGAGAACCCCCAACUCAAGAAGUAGAUUUGUUUUUCUUUGUAUUUCCUGAUCAUAUCAUGCUUUUGUGUUUGGGUGAUGGAACCUUUUUUUUUCUGAAUACUGGGGAAAAUUUGUAAGCAUAUGUUUUGAGGGCUCAGAAUAGAAAUCUUGGCCAAGAAAUAUAGAUUAAUGUUGCGGUAAAUUGCGCGCGAAUCCGGCGGAAACACAGAAGACGACGUAAGAAAAAAUACGACAGAGAUUUGCAUGGUUCGGCAUUUGCCUAUGCCAGAAGGGAGGCAAAGUGGAGCAGAAAGUUCCACUACGGAGGAGCGGAAUACGAGGCGGCGGCGAAAAAGUUCUCUCUUUUCUAAGGAAUCCUAAUUGCAAUGCACCCAAAAUCUCAAGAUCUCACUAGUAGACAACAGUGAUCAAAACAUAAUUCUCUAACAUUGAAUAGAUGUGAGUAUAAAAUCCUAAUCUAGACUCUAGCAAAGCUUAAAUGUGCUGCAGUAAUUCGCAUAAUGGAUUGGAUCCGAAAAUUUAACAUAGACUACAACGGAUUGCGCCCAAGAAUAUCAAAAUAUAGUUUUCGGCUUAAUGAUGCCUUAGUAGCAUUUGAUAAUCAGGAAAAAGUUGUGAAUUUGCAUAUUUGCUUCUGUAGCACUUGAAAGUUAGAAUUAUGCAUCUGUCCUUGAAAUUCGAUAUAAUAACAUUCAAUUGAUUCUAUCAUUUAUGCGCUGAAACGGUUCCAAAUUUCAAUUCCAAUUUUUCCGGGAGUUAAUUUGCUAUUCCGAAUUUUAUUCUUUUUGUUGGCAGGUUGAAUUCUGCGGUUCAUUAUCAGGCUUUAAUCUCAGUUCUCUUCAUUUUCAUAUCGAAAGACCGAAACAUACGAGCGAGGCGCUUAAAUGAGCUCUAGAACCUCGAGUACCAAAGUGAGAAGGAAAAGCCAAAUCGGUGUAAAGGCUCAAAGUGGCGAGCUCAUGGAAAACAAAGUACUGAGAACUUCUUCAGCUAAGAGAUUGUAUGUGGAGCAUAAAAGGCCUCAAGUGAAUAGCCAGAGACCUUUUCCGUCGAGUUAUUUCACCGUCGAAUCGUUCGUGAUACUUGGUUGCCUAACGGCAUCACUAUUGGUUCUUCCACUACUUUUGCCCCCGUUGCCUCCGCCGCCUUUUUUGUUAUUACUACUUCCGAUCGGCAUACUUGUUGUGCUGCUGAUCUUGGCCUUUAUGCCAUCUGAUACCCGGAAUAUCGCAUCCCCUUACUUGUAAAGCGCCGAUAACUUUUCCAUGUUAUAUACGAUGAGUUAAAAAGAGAAAUAUGUUCUUUUAUUUCUUCUAUAUCAGUGAGUGACUACUAGUUGCUUUCCAAACUUUUCGUUACUUUCUCUUUCGAAGUUUGUUAACAUAUUGCAGUGAAAAUUAUUGUUGCUAGAUCAAGAUUACUUUGCCAGAUGCAGUGCUGUUCGAUAAAGUACUGUUUGAGUAGUGUUUUUCGAAGAAACAUUGCAGUAAAAUCACUUCGGCAAAUUCGCACUGCAGCAGGAGUAUUGUUGUUACUCUCAAUUGCAUUUUAGUUACAGAUGAUAAUUGUUCAGAAUUUCUGAGCAUGAGUGUUUCUGAUCAAAUCUCUCAGUUUGGAAAAUGAGUACCAUGUUUAAGCAUAAUCAGUGUCUUCUGAUGAAACCUUACUCUUUAUGCAGUUUGUACAAGCGCUGUCGAAUUCAUUUGCACUUUGCACCCUUUUUUGCGUUAUCUCAUGUGCUUGUUUAGCGUGGCUUCUGUAAUAGCUUUUUUGCUUGAAAAGUACAAAACAUCUGCCAAUGAAAAGAAGGUCUAGAGCUGUUAUAGGAGAUUUACACUCUUAAAGCUUCUGUAACAACUCUAUUCAUACUGUCACGGGUCUAAUGACUUUUUGUCGAAAAGCCCGCGUGGCGCUCGUCUGUCACCUGCACAAAACGAGCCAGCCAAGCAAAACCGUCCCGAGGCGCAACUUCGCAAAUUGGCAACGACCGAGAAUCGAGAGAAAGCACGUAAAGGGAUCCUGCAAAUUGGCACAAACAACGAGUAUUUUAUUGAUAACGAAAAGUUGGACUACAAGCGAAAGGCACAAGACUCGACUUGGUCGGGCAUGGCCGGUGAGGGCAAAAUGAUCACCAAGACACUACGCUUUUAGCGAAGCGGGCUCACUUAAUACGUCUCACCCAACCUUCCCGUACUUUUAGAAAUGCUUUAGCCGAGGCUAGCUUGUCCUAGUCUUCACCAUCAAAAGGCUUUUGUUAUGUUGCCCAUAUAGAUGUUAUGAACCUAAUUGCAGAAAUUAAAAUGUUAGAGACCAGUACACAUACCGUCCCCAACAGGAGACUAUUUUAUUUGCCGUUCAUCAUGUGAUCAACACGAAUCUCAAACUUGCAUGAACGGUGGAUAAGAUGAUCUCCGACGUGAGACUCUUUCAUCUGCCAUUUAUCAUGUGAACGACACAAAUCUUAAAGCUGUAUGAACGGUGGAUGAGAUGGUCUCAUGUAGGGGACGGUUCCAACCGUUGGGCUGAAUUGGCCAUAGAUUAUGGGCCGAGGCUUUUUAUAGUAGAAAGUUUUGGGCCAACUUUGUGACUUCAAAGCCCAACAAUUAUUUCCUAAACGAUCUUGGGCUUUCGAGGUUAUUCGGCCUAACACGGCCCAUUUACAGAGCCCAGUAACUUCGUCCGAUCAAAAACUAUCCCUACACCCGGUGCAUUCGUGCAUCACAUGAUGCAUCGCCCUAUAUCUGUAUCAACAUUAAAUCUCAGCCGUCCCAAGGUAACACCGCAACUAGUGGAGGGUUGAGAUUGAACUAUCAGAUGAAAUGAGGCUACGGUACACAGGUUGUAGUGGUGAACAGUGUUCAGGGAACAUUUCCAUUGGAUCAUUGGUUUACGUGGGCUCGAUCCGUACCCGGCCCAGUUCCCUAGCCCACUACGUGUGCGGCAGAAAGGUAAUGCCUGCACCCGGUUUAUCCCUACAUACCGUGCACCAACCUCCGACCCAAUCACAUCUUUCAAUCUCAGCCGUCCAGUUUCAGGUGAGACGAGAUUACCGCAAUCAUCGGACGGUAAGCGGAUAGAUAAGGCUCAUGGUGGACCGGGUUCACACACUGUUUUCUUCCAUGUCUCUCGUGGAUCCUCCCAAAAUCUCGCGUCAACUCUCUCUCCCCCUCUAUUCCUGUAAAUUUCCUACUCCGCUGUUUAGAAUUGUUUCUUCGCUUUACCAAAGCAUUUCUCUCUCGAUAUAUAUAGUGGGAUUCCUAUAAAACCCUAGCUUUACCGAUCCCCAAAUCACACACUCUGUCUCGCUCUCCGUGUUUGCCCUAAUUUGGUGGUCGCGAUGGAUGAGGAGUACGACGUGAUAGUGCUCGGGACGGGGCUCAAGGAGUGCAUCCUCAGCGGCCUCCUCUCCGUCGAUGGCCUCAAGGUCCUCCUCUCUAAUUCGAUUCAUCACGAUCUCUUGGUUCAGAUUGCUUGAUGUAGUUUGUUGUGUUGUGAUCGAUCUCGAUCGAUCGAUCGAAUUUGGGUUGGAAGUUCACUUUAAUAUGAGAAUAUAUGCUCAAAUCACCUCUAAAAGAUUAAAUUUUGGAAUCGUAUGAACAUUGAGAUCUCUUAGUUUAGAUCAGGAUACGAAUAUUGGAUCUUCAUUUGGUUGUCUCUGUUCCGAUCUACAUAUUUUGCUGCCUCUGCUAGGUUGCAAUUUGCUUAAAAGAUCCUCUUUAUUUUUCCCCUCUCUUGUAAAGGCCUUUUCAGGUAGCUUUGCCCAAUGAACAUUUAUUUGUUAUUUCAAGCUUGAUUUGGCAAAGAAUCCUGCACAAAAUAGUCUUUGUGGCAACUUUGAACUGAGCUUCUUUUUUUUUUUUUUUUUGACUUCUUUUUGUGGUUUGCAGAUUUAAUUUGGCUCCUCACUAAUAAUUCCUCUUCAGUUGCUUAGAUAAUCUUAGUUUAAGUUUAUUAUGACAAAUAUAGCGCUGUUAAAUGAGAGAUACGGUAUGGACUGUUUCUAUCAAUGGUUUCAUAUUUCCAUUGGUCAGCGUCUUUAGAUAAAUUUGAUCAAUCAUACCAACAGUGUUGUCUUUAUUUUUAAUUUGUCUUCUUUCUCAGUUUGUCUUGUCAUUUCUUCAUUUCCUGUUACCUUAAAUAUCAAAAGUCUUUAUUUGUUCAGAUUUCAGCAACUAAAACCCUUAUUUAAAAGGGAGGAGAACUGUUUUUGUAUUAUUUGUUGCCUUUUUUUCUUGAAAUUUCAUCUUUAAGAUUAUAUUUCUUCCAUGUGCUAUCUCUUUCCUGUUAUACUAUAAUUUUGUCAAACUGAUUAUUUCUAAUGGUGGAAGAGGUGCUCUAAGGCAGAAGCUGAAGUUGUAUACUUGAUUCUGAUAAAUCAUCAAUAAUUGUAAUCUGCUUUUCAAUUAUGAUGUUCCUACUGUCUUAUUGUGGUGUGUGAUGCUUCUGUUUUAUAUUUAUGUUUUGCUUUGAUUAGCCAGUAUGUUCUCUGCUUAUAUGAUUGGAGUCAUAAAUUAUACAGCUGAUUGGGCCUAAACCACUCCUUGACUUCAUGGUUCUAAAUGUUCUUCAAAAUGUUAAAAUUAGCAGCAUAAUGAUUGAAAAUUUUGCUACUGUGGAAGUGUUUGUAGAUGUUAUUUUAUCCUUUGUGCAUUACUCUGUAUAUUUGGCCGUAUUUGACUAGUUGCAGUAGUUGCCAUUAAAUUUCAUUCCAUGUUGGUGAUCUGCAAUUUUGUGCCAGGUCUUGCACAUGGAUCGAAACGACUACUAUGGAGGAGAGUCGAGCUCUCUCAAUCUCAUCCAGGUAAGAAACUUUGACUAUCUUUGCUUAUAUUGUUGUAAGUUGAUUAAUCACCAUUUCAUUCUCUCGAUACAUCAAACAAAACCCAAAAGUUGCUGAGCUUGUUGCCCUUGUUAUAAGAAGAUCAUCAUCUUACAGGAAAUUUUUUGAAGCCAUUUUCGUACUUUUUGUGUUGAUCUUUUUUUUUUAAAAAAAUAAUAAUUUCCUGCAAUUACUGCUCUUUCCUUUCUCAUACAGCUCUGGAAAAGGUUUAGGGGUAAUGAUAAGCCUCCAACACAUUUAGGGCCCAGCAGAGACUACAAUGUAGACAUGGUUCCUAAGGUUUGUCCUCCUCUUUCUAUAGUUUGUGUUUCCUAGAUCUACAUAAGCUUGUUAAUCUAAUAAUGUAUAUGAUUCAGAUAGUUAUUCUGCAGAAUCUAAUCUACUUUCAACAUCAAGAUGCAGAAAAAAGAAGUAAAUGUCAAGCCAUGUGUCUUAGAGUUUUAAUUUUAUGCUGAUUCCGCUCCUUUUUCUUAGCGAAAGGUUUUAACUACUAGGUCUAGAUAUAUAUAUUUUGUGUUUUUAGAUGGAGAUGGCAGAUUUGACCAGUACUAUAGACAUUGCAACUGACAAGAUAAUGUUUAUCUGGCUAGUUCAUGAUGGCAAAUGGCAUAUUGGUGCGCGUCCUCAUUCAUACAGAUGUUACGAAGUACCUAUCCUUCAAAGCUGUAGAUGGAAGCUAUGUACUUAAUAAAGGAAAGGUAUAUACAUUUUCUGGUUUCUUAGUUGCUAUUGCAGUUUAUGAAUUUUCUCUUUUUGACAAUCUCUUAUUAGUGAAUGCUGUUAUACUUAUGUCCCCUGCCUGUUUGCUGUUGUACUGUGACAGAUUCACAAGGUUCCUGCGACUGAUAUGGAGGCACUCAGAUCUCCAUUGAUGGGACUGUUUGAAAAACGCAGAGCGAGGAAGUUCUUCAUCUAUGUCCAAGAUUAUAAAGAAGAUGAUCCGAAGACGCAUGAAGGAUUGGACCUUACAAGAGUGACAACCAGGGAAUUGAUCUCGUGGGCACCCAAUCUAUUCCUUCUUGCACUGGCAGUUUUAUACUAGAUUUAUUUUGAUACUUUUUUUCCUUUCUUUUUUCUUGUAGAGCAAAACUAUAUUUGGAAUUUCUCUAGCUUUAAGUGACGUCCUUGUUGAACAACUAUACUGCUAGAUAACCAUCUACUUAUAAGUUAAUCUAACUAUUAAAAUAGGAGAGUUAAUUACCUAUGAAGAAUAUUCUGUUUAAAAGUUAAUUUCGUCAAUCAGACAUAAGUUUCUUUGUACUGUUAUAUUUUUAUUUCUCUAUUAAGCAAUCGAGUUUCUUUUCAUAUUUGGCAAAUAGAUUUGAUUAUUCAUCAGUAACUUUCCAGCAUAUUUAGAUAUUCAUUCAGAAAGAAAUCUGCACAAACAGACAGUAAUAAAUCCUUCUGACAUACUUUUGGGGCAUAUUUUGUGCUUAAGCUGAUAUUUAUGCUACUUGUGAUUGUCUCUUUGUUCAGUAAAUAUGGUUUGGAUGACAACACAGUAGAUUUUAUUGGCCAUGCAUUGGCUCUUCAUAGAGAUGACCGCUAUCUACAUGAGCCUGCACUUGACACUGUAAAAAGGAUGAAGGUAAGUCUUGCAGUUUAUAGCAUGUAGUUAGUCUUAAUUUAUAACUAAAGGACCCUAUGAGACUUCCAUCUAUUUCUUUUUUACCUUCUAAUAAUUUAGUUAUUUCUAAUAUUAUUUCUUGGGUGUUCACCUUCAGCUUUAUGCUGAAUCUCUUGCGCGUUUCCAAGGAGGGUCACCAUACAUUUAUCCAUUAUAUGGAUUAGGAGAGCUGCCGCAGGUUUGGUCAUUCUUAUCAUCUGGCCCUUACACUUAUGAUGACUUCUCUUGGACUUCCAUCUGGUGGAAGUUAUAUCUUUGAUUAUUAUUAUUAUCAUUAUUUUUAUACAGGCUUUUGCACGCCUUAGUGCUGUUUAUGGUGGGACAUACAUGUUAAAUAAGCCAGAGUGCAAGGUAGCCUUAGUAUUUCUCAACUCCAUAUUAUCAGUUGAUUAAUGAUAAAAUUGUACAUAAUUUCGAUAAUCAUCAUUUUUCAUUUUCUGUUACAAUUACUUAUUUAUCGACUCCAUUCCAGGUUGAAUUUGAUAUGGAAGGAAAAGUUUGUGGUGUGACUUCGGAAGGGGAAACUGCUAAGUGUAAAAAAGUUGUAUGCGACCCUUCCUACCUGCCUAACAAGGUAGAGGAUUUUAUUUCCUUGUUACCUUGUUAGAAAUCUGAUAUUUGUUGCACGCCUUGAGAUGAUUGAAACCCUUCAUUGUACCUGGCAAAGUGAUAGAAAUCAUUAUCACCUAAUGGAAGUCUUAGUGAAAGAGGUCAGGUGAUGAAAUUUUGUAGUUUUGGGGGCUUCAAUGCAGGAUAGAAAUUUCAAGCGGCCAAAGUGAACCAGUGUUUCCUUGCAGCUAUUAAUUUUAGAUAUUGUCGUACUUUUUAAUUGUAGUAACCUCUCAUUGGUUAUUCCAGUUGUCUUUUGUAAUGGCAAAUGAUUUUAUUUUAUUUUAUUUUAUUUUUUUUGGUGUGUGUGGAUAUUUUAGGUUCGGAAGGUUGGAAAAGUAGCAAGAGCAAUUGCCAUUAUGAGCCACCCAAUUCCAAGUACUGAUGAGUCUCACUCAGUACAGGUUAUAUUGCCCCAGAAGCAACUGGGGCGUAGGUCAGACAUGUGAGAAUUUACCCUUGAAGUAUAUUAUAUCUGAAAGUCCCACACACACAGCUCUUGGUGAUCUUGUUUCUUGUCUAGAUAGUAUCUCUUCUAACCUCAUUACUUCCGCAUUAUGUGGCUUAUCAGGUACGUGUUCUGUUGUUCGUAUACCCACAAUGUUGCACCAAGAGGGAAGUUCAUUGCAUUUGUCUCAACUGAAGCUGAGACUGAUAACCCAGAGAUGGAAUUGAAGCCUGGGAUUGAUCUUCUAGGGCCAGUGGAUGAGUUGUUUUUUGAUACAUACGAUAGAUUUGAACCUGUCAAUGAGCCUUCCUUGGAUAAUUGCUUCAUCUCGACGGUAAAACUUCCCAAUACAUUCUUUGUGGUUAAAUUACACCACCGGUCAUGACCUUAACAUAGAAUUUAACUUGCAUCUUGGAAUUUUGAUUUGUUGCGAUUGAUGCACUAAAGGUUAGUGUUUGGUUUAGUCGGUCCUCUGUUAAACUCUGUUUGUUACCUCUAAUGGGGGGAUGGCAUGGUACUUUAUUAAGCUGCCAUGUGAACUGAGUUUGCCGCCACGCCAUCGCUUCUUUGACGAAGAGACCCGUUUGAAACAGGAAUUUCAAGCUCAAUCCAUCAAUUACAACAAAUGAAUUACCGACAGUGUAAUUUACCUCAAUUCUUCGUAGUUUAAAUUCUGUAGAUACUCAAUGACUAGUUUGCUGUAUGCAGAGUUAUGAUGCGACGACUCAUUUUGAGUCUACUGUCACGGAUGUUCUCUCCAUGUAUACAAAGAUAACGGGGAAGGUAAUAUUUACUCCAUGCUGUUGUUCCCCUUUAUUUUGUUUCAUUCUUAUGCUUUAGAUAUUACGAUACGUAUUGAGCCAGCGAAUUAGGGUGACUUACGUCAAGUGUUCUUAAUCUUUUCCAAAGUUUCCAAUGCUUCUUGCUGUUGUUGUUUUUACUUUACAACUAAAACAAGCCAAAGCUCAUAUCAAGAAGUUAUCUCUUUCCUAAUAAACAGUAUUAAUUUAAGUAUUUAUAUAUGUUCAAGCGACUAUAUUUUGUUCUAUAUAAUUCUAAAAUGGGAUCUAACUCGCAUCAAUUCUUCUCUCAGACGGUGGAUCUUAGCGUGGAUCUCAGUGCUGCGAGUGCCGCCGAAGAAUACUAAAACAAAGAUCAGUCCAAUUAAGUCCCAUAAAACAUGUGAUUAUCUUUGUGGGUUAUGCGGAUCGACGAAGUUGGCUUUACAUAGAAUGUUCUAGACUUGAUAAAUCCAGUGCUGUCAGAUAUUUUCACUGCUGCUAUCAUGUUCUUGUUCACCAUAUCAACAUCAUAUACUAAGCUCUUAAACACUUGCAUUCAGAUGUUGCUAAGUUAUUUUGUGGAAUGUGGAUUUGGCUUGUCACUGUUGGCUUGUUUAUUACAUUAUUGUUUCCACAAUGGAUACUUGCUCCUUAAUUGUUAUUAUAUUUCAAUUUUUUGCAGUAGAAUUUAGCCUUGUAUUAAGUCACACAAAAAAAGAGUAUGGGAUAAAGUGCUUGGUCAUGAAUAAAUUAAACCAUAAAUUAUGAAAAUUUAUUUUCUUUGAUUUGUACAAUAAUCAAAUCCUUUUUUGCAGCUUCAACAUUGUUUCUUGACUCUCUUUUCUUGAAAUUGAAACUCUGAGAAUAAAAUUUAGUCCAUAAAAAUAAAAAACUGAGACAAAACUUGUAAUCGUAGUUAAAAUUGAUGGUUAAAGUGUAUACAUCCAUUUGUAUAUUGUUUGUUUGUUAAAUAGAAAAUAUUUAACAAAUGGGAGUCAAAAUUGAUUAACAAGGCCCUGUUGUGAAAUGGGAAAAAAAAGUGGACUCUUCUGCAAAAGGCGAUACGGCUAUACUUCACCAUGCGACGACACCUGGCGACGAGCGCGAAUCUCUAAGCACAAAUGCUCUCCUGCGUUACCGGAGUUAGAACUUGACGGUUCGGGUCGGGUCGGACGUGAAGUUAUCGAACCCCUUUACCCGUUAACGAACGGCGCGGGGAAGGGUAGAUUUUUUUCCCCCAGUUGUCCCUCGCCCCAUUCGAAUUUCACGAACGGUCCCCAACCGAAACCCUAGGGGAGAGAGAGAGAGAGAGACUCGAUCCGUACGACGCCCAUCUCCACCGAUCUCCAAAGAGGCGAUUGGAUCAGGUAGAUCAAAAAAGAGUCCCUAAUUUUUGCUUUUUUGGGGAAAUUAUUUGAUAAAAUUUGCCAAAUUGAUCGUAGAAACUGAUGUAGGAGAAACGCAUUCCCCCCCAAUAGUUCAUUUCUUUCGUAAAUUCUGCUAAGAAUUUAAGCUCGAAUUCAGAAAUUCUGCUUUUGGACCUCAAAAAUCUUGUUUUUAACUACUACUGCCAACGAAACGAAAUGUUACGAGUAACUUUAGCUUGAGGCAUAAGCAGAAGCAGAAGCAGAAGCAGAAGCAUAAACAUGAUCUUAAGUGUUUUUCCUACUAUAUGGUAGAUUGGUUUUACUGAUAGGUAACAGGUCAUGUCACAGUUCGCAAUUCGGAGUACCGACGCAACUCCUUUAUCAAUCUUUAAUCAUCUCUUGUAUGAAAUUUUAGUUGUUUGAUGCUAAAUAUAUUCGAUUUCAGUAUUAUUGUCCAAAUGGAGAAGGAACUGAGCCAUCGAGGGGUGAUCGCCCCGAAUGCCGACAUUUCAGGAUCUAGGAUUACGUCGGACGUGACACAUAGAGGAGAAGAGAUGCUUCGUUCCAACCGCGAGUUCUCUGAUUCCAAUGGUCUAAAAAUUAGUGCAACACCCCUAUCGUCGUCGAGAGUGGUAGUAAUCAUAUCAAUGGUCCCUAAUUUCUUGUUUUAUGCGCUUACGUUUUUAUGUAAUAUUUUUUUUUUUUAAUUGUAGAAAGCUGCUUCACAAAAGGAACUUUGCUAUGGAGAACCGCCGCGAGUUGGAAUGACCUUUAACUCAGAGGAAGAAGCUUACAACUUCUAUAAUGCGUAUGCAGAAAGAGUAGGUUUUAGUGUCCGGAAAAGUCAUACAAGUCGAAGGAAAGACGGUAGUCUGCAAUGUAGGUAUUUUGUGUGCAGCAAGGAAGGAAAGCAUUAUGCCCACCCCAUUCGUGUGCCGAAAGAGCCACGCGCAACUGGGAGAGCCAAUUGCAGGGCUCGCGUUGAGUUUAGGGUCGACCGAAAGAAUGUUUGGACCAUCAAGAGGGUAGAAUUAGAGCAUACUCACAAGCCCGUUAGCCCAAGCAAAGUGCACAUGCUUAGAUCGCAUCGACAAAUUUUGCCUAUGCAACGCCGACUUAUGGAGUGGAUGGACAAGACCGGGAUUACCCCGUAUCAGAUCGAAGAGAAGUUUAAUGGAUCUGAAAAUGGGAGUUUUCCGCGUAUGGACACUGUUAAUUAUGUCUGUGGACAACGGGAAAAAUUAUUGCGUGCGCGGGAUGCUCAAACUCUUUUGGACUACUUUAAGAACAAGCGGAGAGAAGAUCCUUCCUUUUUCUACGCCAUCCAAGUUCAUGAGUCGGGACAAGUUGCUAACUUUUUCUGGGCGGAGGGGCAUGCUAUUGUCGAUUAUGCAUACUUUGGUGAUGUCGUGUCCUUCGACACCACAUUCCAAACCAAUAAAUGCGAAAUCCCAUUCGCGCCUCUCCUUGGCAUUAACCAUCAGAAGCAAACAAUUGUCUUUGGAGCAGCACUUCUCUUCGACGAAACUGCAGAUUCAUUUGUUUGGCUUUUCAAGACUUUCCUAUCUUGUAUGUCUGGAAAGCAGCCGUCUACUAUUUUCGCCAACCAUUCCGAGGCCAUCUCUAGAGCAAUCUCAGUGGUUCUUCCAAGUUCUUACCAGCGCCUCUGUCUUCGGCAUAUUUCUCAAAAUACGGCCACAAAUCUUAGUCAUGUUAUUCCCAUGUUUCCGAAUUUUAUGUCCACAUUCAGAAGUUGCAUAUAUGAAGCACAUUCUGUGGAACAGUUCGUGGCCAAAUGGGAGGACAUGUUGAAGACCUACCAACUUGAGGACAAUUUAUGGUUACAGAACCUGUAUAGUCUUCGUGAGAAAUGGGCUACGGUAUUUUGUUGUGAUUCCUUUUGUGCUGACAUGAGAACGAUACAAAGAGAUGACGAUAUGAAUAACCUAGUAAAAAAGUUAUUUCGAAAGAAGUUAUCCAUUGAGGAGUUUAUUAUAGAAUACCACAAGACCUUAAAGCUUUUCCAUGAGAAAGAGUUGUACGAAGACUAUAAUUCAUGGCGAACAAAGCCUAUCCCUUUUGUGUCCAGCAUACCGAUGCUGACUAUGGCAGCAGAUUCAUAUACAAAGCAUAUAUAUGCUGAUUUUGAGAAGGAAUUCAAGAGUCAAUUAGUUAGUGCUUGUGAACUAGUGACCUCCGAUGGAUCUAUUAGAACGUUCAAGGUAUCACUUUUGGACUCUAAGAAUGAGGGGAUUGUCAUCUUCAAUGUCGAAGAUCAUACCGUACAGUGCUCAUGCAAGAAGUACGAAUGUGCUGGAAUUUUAUGUUUCCAUGCUUUGAAGGUCCUAAAUUAUAACAAUGUCUUCAAUCUCCCUCAUCGCUACAUAUUGAAGAGAUGGACUAAGUUUGCAAAGUAUGGAACUGCUUCAUGCAUUCCGCAGCCUGCUGUAGAUGCUGAUGGGCGAGAAACUCCUGCGUCAUGUUAUGCACGGAUUUGCCAAAAGGCCCUUCUUGUUGCGAUCAAGAGUUCUGCCUCUAGAGAAGCUCUCGCAUACGUGGAAAAAGGACUAGAUAUAUUAACAACGGAAGCAGAGGCACUUUUACAGGGGGAGAAUGCGACAAACUCAAAAAGCGAUGCUUCACAGCCAUCCAUCACACAACCUAGCGAGGUAGAUACUUUGGGUAGUCAAAUCUCGACAAAGUCUUCUCCAUUCAGAAAGUGGACGGACGUCGAGCAAUGGAACUCUCCUUAGCAUCAAUCUUGAUCUGUUGUAACAUUCUGCAACACCAAUCUUGAUCUGUCGGCUCAUCAAAUGUAAGUACAAGAAGCCCAGUGCUGUGCAUAUAAGUAGCACUUUGCAUUCUCUGUAUAUGGUUCUGCUGAUUAAUGUUACAAAAAUUGCCCUUUUUUCCCCUUACAAGUUGUGAUUGUUCAAAUCUAUACUAUGGUUAUUUACUAUGUUUCUGCUUGAAUUGUGCUCUAUAAUUUAAUUGUUAAAGUUGCAUAUCACCAGAGUCGGAAUCUUUCAACUCAUAGUGCAUAUCCGACCGGUUUUAUACUGUAUUGAUAGUGGUGGACCUAAAACCUGGUUCAGUUAAUAUCUAAUGGGCAUAUGGCUAAACACAUCAAUCCAAUUAAAAAUGAAAUUUAAAUGCAGGGGUGUGCCAUAAUGGUUGAAUUGUGAAAAGAAGGGAUGCAUUUUGAAUAAAAAAGGAGAUGAAAAAAUAAACCAUCAAUUGACUAUUUAUUUGAUUUUACAUCAUUAGUGAUGAGCUUAAGUAAAAAAGGGAGUUCAUUUUUCUCUCUUUGUAAAUCUGAAAAAAAGGGACCAAAGGUGCAUGGAGUCCUCAAAUAGCAAAGCUGCAUUGAUCAAUGCAUAUUUUACAGGUUGAGAAGUUACUGAGCCUCAACUGUAGAGAAUAAGAAAGAAAAUAAACUGCUAUUGCCUCUGAUAUAACAGCAUCUCUUUAGUAUUACAUCAAUAGCCAUAUAACAAUAGAGUUCCAUAAGAGCAAAGUAUAAAGCUCUGAAGGGUAGUGAAAGUUGCAAAAACCUCAUUACAAAGCAGCAUCUCAUGCAUGUUUACUGAACAAAAAUAGUAGUGUCAUGCAUGAUAGUAGAACACUUUUAGCAUGGGGAAAACAACAUACAACAAAAGGCUCUACCAUAACAAAAACACCACUGUGUAAGCCGACGAUUGAUGCAUUUCGAUAGAACUUGAUUACAACAUGCUUUCUUCGCCAUGGCUCGAUUUGCCCUCAUCUAUUAGGGGAUCUUUCUUUCCCAUCAAGCUCUUUAAUUCUAUAUUCGCGGAAGGCUCUUCAAUGGAUGUGUUGUUUGUACCCAUCUUUUGCUCCUUUCUCUUCUUUACCUUCUUCGCCCAACCUACGAGGCCCUCUUGGAUGUGCUCGUCAAAUAUGGCCUUUUUGAAGUAACUCCCCAUCUUGAUCCAAAAGAAACAAAAAAAAUCAUACGGUGCCAUUUAAUUAGUCGAAUUAACCUAAUAAUUAUCGAAUAAGAGAAAAUCACCUGGGUUACUAUAGCAUAGAGAGGCAGGGUGCUAUAGCUGCAGAGAAUUUGAAUAAUGAUCCUGCAAGAAAAUAGCAUAAUAUAAGCUUAAGAAUGUUAAAAGCUAUUUUGUAUGAACUUGAAAAAAAAAAAAAGAAGUGGAAUAAUGCUAAAUACCCAAUAACAAGUCUGGGAACAAUAAAACCAACUUGCCCCAUGAUGCACGAAUCAAACCCGUAAGUGGUCUAAAUAAUUCAAAAAGAGAAAUAAGACAAACCAUUAGAAAUAUAAAGAUCUUAUGGCCAUCAGUCGGUCAUAUACAUGGAAAAAAUCUAGUUCUAAAUGAUGCUUAAUUAGUUCAUUACCAGAAUCCAGAAGAAGAACGCAAUCUCAAAGGCAUUUUGGAAGAGAAUGAAGUGGAUCAGGUACAGGACGAUCCUGGGACGGUGGAACCAGAAGUGCUCAUCUGAUGGCUUAACUACCAAAUCACCUUCAAUAGCUGAAUGCUUCUCAGCAACCUCAUGAGCCAACUGAGUUAUGACAUGCUCCAAUUUCGUGCCCACGGCUAGUAGAAGCUGCAAGUAAUGAAACAAAAUUACACCAAGUCCUGAUAAAGUGCAUGCUUACAUGCUAUGUGCUGCUGCACAAAUAAUGGCAAUCUUAAGAUGUCAUAUUCACAUAUAUUAACUCUGAGAAGGAUACAAUUUUAAGGUCUACGAAUUUUAAUUUGUCUAGAAUGUUCAAGUUUGUUAAAAUUCAUGUGGAAUAUUUACAUCUAAAUAUAGUUCGCUAGAGGCACCUGGCAACAACAUAACACUUGAAGUUUCUAGGCAUGCAUGAGAAUAACAUAUGAGGGCGACAAAUGUGAAAUCCUAAGUUAAUGGUCUUGUAUUCACCUCUGAGGAUAAGUAAAAGAGUCAAAUGAACCACAAUUUCAUAGUUCAGUAUAUAUUGUCCAUCUUCUUAUCUUCCCUAAGAUGAAGUCAACUUUUAAAAUAAGAAACCUCAUUGAAAAACUUACAACCAAAGGAAUGAAUGCGAUCCAAAAAUACGUAUGCCAACCUGCAUAAUGGAACAACAAUGGUAUCAAUAUUAAUAAUUUAAUAAUUUUGGCGAAAUGAAGAAUUACUAUGUUGAUCAGCAUGAAUACUGAAGCCCCAAGCUAUGAGUUUAAAGAAAUAAGGAUGACGAAACGUGAGAUUAACUGAUAAAGCUUAUAAAAAGUAUUGGAUUAAUCUUACCACCGACAUUCAGCAACAAGAAUAUCACCACAAAGACCCAAAGGUACCAACUGCAAUAUAGGUCACAACAGUGAGCUUCGCAUCACAAUUACGAUCAAUUUUGAGUAGAGGAAAAAAGAUACAUAAGAAAUUUCCAAGAUUGAGUACCUUAUACCGACAACUUUCUUAAAAUCAGCUUCCAGUGCCCGUACCAUAUAUUUGUGAAAAUUAAACUUCGGGUUCCCCCGGCAAUGUGUCUAUGAGGAAACAGGACGUAAGGUUUACAAUAACUGUUAAACUCAAAAAGGAACUAAGAAAAGAGCAGCAGCUUAAGAUUGAUCUUGCGUAAAUUGCUGACCAUGAUGAAGCCAAGUCUCAUUGUGGUGUAAUCCGAUUUAGUCACAGAUCCAUAAAACUGUUUGGCAAACGAAUGCUGUGAAAUGGAACAUAGAAGUUAGCAACUACUCUGCCAGAAUUAUGAAAAAAAUUACACAUUUUCUUUCCUAGAAGAGUGAAAAAAUAACUGUCAGAAUCAAACAGUGAGUACUCUUAAGAACAAGUAGAGAGAAAAUAAGUGGGUCAAUCAAUACUAUUCGCUAGCAUCGUCUUCAACUUGCGAACACAUAGAGCGUGUAACUGGUUAAGGAGGCGUCAAUCGAAAAGAAUAAAAGUUGAGGGGCAUAUGAAUGAGGGGUUCUCAGUACAUUUUUACCUUAUCUAAACAUACAAUCUCUCGGUAGAAAACAGAAAGCACAACUCAGUGGAGCACAAUACAUACAAACAAAUUUUCUGUUGGCAGAUUAAUUAAUUUUUCAUCUGUUAAUUAGGCAUAGCCACAGCUAUCUAAGACAUAUAAAGCAUGGUAGUACACUAUUUAAGAGAUAAAAAAGGAAAGAUAGAUUUCUUAUUUCCAGUCGAUAUACAUGACUACUGCUGGAAUGUUACUAAGAUAACAUAACUUCCUUCUAAGAUCACAUGCAUUAAUAUCUAGUCUAAAGUACUUCACAAAACCAUAUUUACUUGCUGAAAAAACAUACUUUAGUUUGUAUAAAAUGAAAUAGCUUGCAAAUCUUACCAACCAACUUAAUAUUACAGAAUCUUUGCCGAUACCCUGGAAACGAUCCUUGAUAAAUUCAAAUUGAUGCACGUGGGUGACCUUUCUCGAAGCUGCAGAAGCAAACCCUGCAAGCAAUCAUCAAAUAAGAAUAAACAUAUAGAUUAUGAGUAGAGCCAUGUAAGCAAACAACCAAAAUAGUUAGCAUUUCGUACCAUCUCCCUUAAUUUCUUUUUGGAUAGCAUCCUCCCAGUGUUUCCAUUCUCGAAUCUGAGUAAUAAAGAGAACUAAGUAAUAAUUUUGUAACAAUCGAGCCGCAGCAGCCAAAAUGCAAAGCACUCUCUUGUUUACCUUUAUCAUUCCCAAAAGCAUGGUCACUAAACUGAACGUCACGUGAGUGAUCGCCAGAACAAAUAUGAAUAUAUGCAACUGAUGUAUUGCUUCAAGAGACAACAGCGGAACUUUAUGCUGGAACAAAAGAAGCAAAGAAGUUAAUCACCAGAUUAAAGAACUUGACCGCAACAUAAGAAUUCUCGAGUAUGAUACAAACACAGUUUAGAGAUCUAAGAUUUUUUUCCUGAUGGCAGCUGACAACAAUCAAACAAAUACACCAGAGGAACAACCUAAAUCUUAUUUCAUUGAUUUAUUACUGCAUUAGUAACUACAGUACCAAGAAAGCAACUUGGAGAGCCACAAUUACAACAGAAGAAACCAAGGCCCAUCUUUGUCCUGCAAAAAAGAAAAACGCAUCCAUGUACUACUAAUAAACGUUUACAUGUUACCAAUUCAUCUAAAGCGUACUAUAAUUAUCUAGAAGCAGCAGGCAUGGUUAGGAACAACCUAACUGGAUACAAAUGUCCCUACAUAGUUGCUAGUGAUUCAAAAAUGUCACAGAAACAAAGCUCAUUCCUUUCAUAUAUUUAUAUAGGAGAGCUAUAAGAACUCGAUACAUGCGUAGUUAGUCAAAAGGAACAAAACUUAAAUGCAAGUCCUCGGUUAUACAUUCCAUAUUGCAUACUUUAGUAAAGUUUUGAAUAAGUGCUAGAAAAGGAUGGGAACAUGUGUUGCUUCUGUCUUAAGAUCUCCGAAAGCAACACGAAAAAGAUGAUAACAUGUGUUAGCAUGACCAUAUUGUUGUAUUCUAGUAACAUUUUUUACACAAAUAUUAAAGCAUGUGUUAGCAUGACCAUAUUGUUGUAUUCUAGUAACAUAUUUUACACAAAUAUUAAAGCAUAUUUUUUCUGCAUCCAAUUUCAACCUGCUCAGAGUAAAAGGAGAUCUAUGCAGAGAACCCCAUUUCAUGAAUCCAUCAAAAUCCACAACAAAAAACCAAAUUUUGUACAGAGAUCAAGGAACUCUUCUAGAACCCAACCUUGCUGCUGCAAUGCUCGGAGCCGAAAUCACUUUCCGAAAGCAGCCGCCGAGCACCGGCGCCGACGAAGGAGUGGGCCCGGAAGUGGGCUUCGGCGCCGGAAGUGGGACCUUCGUCUUUCUUACAUGGCAGCAAGUGAUUGGUCCAAUUCGGAGGUAUGCAGAUCCUCUGGAUCGCCCCUUGGAACACCGUCAACAGCAAGGAUAUGAACCCCAACAACAUUAACUCUACCCACAAUUAAAGAGCAAACCCAUUUUAAAUAUAUAUAUAUAUAGAGAGAGAGAGAGAGAAAGAGAGAGAGAGAGAGAGGUGUAGAGAGAGAAAGAGAAGGGGAACAAGGAAAAGGACCUUCUUUUACUUUCUGAAGCGCUUCGAAAAGGGGUUUCUGGUUCUUCUUCUUCAAAAACUGAGGAAUUCGCGAAGAGUGCAAUCACAAAUUGAAUCCGAAACUGGGGAGAUGGUGGCGCGAAAAAGGGUAAAAGGUCGCACCUUUCCGAGGUGAUGGAGCAGUCGCUCGGCGAUGAGGGAGAUGAGGACGAUGAUGGAGCAAACGGCGGCGACGAUCCACGUGGGGGUGUGCUCGAGCUUCAUUUCGCCCCCGAUCGCUCCCCCUUCGCCGCCCCCUCCUUCCGCCAUUGUUGCGGCAACGGUGGUGGGGAUAUCGAAGGGGGAAUUGGUGCCUAGGGUUUUGAGAGAGGAGGAGGGGGAAGGGGACGCGCAGGGAACGCGGAGAGGAGAGUGGGGUGAAGGGAAAGAGGAGGAAACAGGGGAGUGUGUGUACGUAAUAGUGUGGAGACUCGAGAGAGAACCGUUUAAAAGAAAAAAGAAAAAAUAAAAGAUUUUUUUCAAAAAAAUCAUUAUUUACUUAUUUAUUGGACUAAAUAAAUGUACAAGAGAGUGUAAGAUUUACAUACUUUUUAUGUAAUAUUUGGUUCUUAAACUAUUCUCAAAAAAAUAUUUGGUUCUUAAAUAAGGGUGAGAAUAAGUUCUUGUUCCUCUCUUUGUUUGAUUUUUUAUAUCCGAAAACAACAGUUCUUGGGUCUCUGAAAUAAAUUGGUAUAAUAAUCUGUCACGCCCCGGGACCGGCAGCGUGCCCAGACCCGCCAUAUGUCAGCACAUAUAAGGCGUCUACAACAACAGCGGAAAAUAAAACCAAAAGUAACCUACAUCUAGAGAUAUCAGAGUACAGAUAGAUCUAUAGUCUAUAACAAGAUAAAAGAGGUAUAUUAAAGCAAAAGGAGCGAAACAUAUAGAUAUACAAUAUCUGUCCAAAAGGUACACAAAAGGGUGGUCUUUAGUACACUGGUACAGUUCUCAACCUCUCCAAAAUAAAAUACAUCGAGAGGGAGACCAUCUAGAACUCGUCACUCGCUGAAGAGCUAGCUCGAAGCAAUGCCCUUCCGACGGUCCCUAGCCUCUCCCGGCGUGGAAGGCUCUGAAAGAAAAUAUAAAACAGAGGGCGUGAGAACUAUAAUUGGUAUAAGACUGGAAUUGCUGCUCUAUCUAUUUUUCUGAAAUAAGUUUGCUCCCAAAUAGGAACAAGGUUAAUUAAAGUAUAAAUUUAAAUUUAAUUAUAAUAUUAAAUUAUUAAUUAAUUUAAUUAAUAUAUUUAAAUUAUUAUAUAUUGCUUAAAUAAUAAAGUAAAUAAUUAAUUUAUUACGUAUAAUUAAUUAGCUAAUUAAUUAUUAAUAAUUUAAUAUCUUUAUCUGUAAAUUCAACCAUUAAUAUUUUUAUUAAUCUAAUUAAUUUUUUUACUAGUUAUCCCACUAAAAUAAUUUACUAACUAAUUAAAAAGUUAAAUUAUUUUUUAUUUCGAUCUAACCAUCCAAAUACUAUUACACUUAUUCCCGUGAACAAUCUAAUUUUUAUUGAAAUGUAAAAUUAAUCUAAUUCCUAUUUAUAUCUGAACUUACACAUAUUUCUGAAAUAAACAAUUAUUAUACUAGAGCUUUUUUAAUAUUUAUAAAAAUAUUGAAAUGUACUACAACUUAUUUAAUUGAGAAUUUAAUUCUUAUACGCUUCCUUAUUAGAUAAGAAAUAAGGAGAGAAAAACAUGUGUAAGUUCAGAUNNNNNNNNNNNNNNNGUUAAAUUAUUUUUUAUAUUUAAUUAAUUGAUUAAUAUAUUUUUAUUAUCUUACACAAUAUUUACAGCUAAUAAAUUUAUUAAUUUAUUAAAUUAUUUUUAAAGUAAUAUUUUGACAUUAAUUAUUAGAUAAAAUAAUUUUAAUUAAAAUUAUAAUUCUUAUUCUUUUUAAUUAGUUAGUAAAAUAUUGAAAUGUACUACAACUUAUUUAAUUGAGAAUUUAAUUCUUAUACGCUUCCUUAUUAGAUAAGAAAUAAGGAGAGAAAAACAUGUGGCUAUGUGCAAUGUGAAAAUUUUUUCAUAUUUCCUUCAUAUUUAUUUAUUUAUUUAAAUAAUGUGAUACAUAAUCUUUUUCAAAUACCAUUUUUUGAUACUAUUUCUAAUAAAAUUUGAUAUAUUUAUUUAAUCUAAUUAACAUUGAUUAAUUAAAUAUUAAAAAAAUUUGAUAUGUUUGCAUUGAAUAUGUGUAUACAACUAUAUAUUAUAAUAAGCGUGAGACACAUUACCGUGAUCGAAGGAGAAAUUUUUGGUUGAUCUACAUUAAAAUAUUUACACCAUUCGAUGAGUCCUAAAAAUCGUGAUUUAUAAUAUAUUUUUUAAUACCCUCGAUUUUUUGCGAUAAAUUUUUGUCUAAAUAAUAAACUAAAAAAUAUAUGAUCUUUAAUGUAUAGAAAAUUGAGAAGUUAUAGAUCAUGUCUAAAUGGUGGAUUGGGUCAGAGAAUAAUCAGUUAUUUAUUUAUGUUUUCUGAUAAUAAAAAAAAUAUAAUAAUAUAAUAUUAAUUUUAAAUUUUUUUAUCGGCGUAAGUUUUUACAUUUGAUCGAUCGAACCAUUUAAUGACUCAGAUUCAAUCUGAUCCCUCACCAUUUCGAACGCAACUCAGCAAAACCAAACGUUUCAAUCAGGGAAUAAAAUGUUUAAUCUUUUUUAGUCAACAUAUUAUAACUCUCAUUUUUUGAGGUAAUAUUAUUUCAUGAACAAAACUUGUAACAAAAAAAAUUGACAUGAUCAAUUAUCGUAUUAUUAUACUUUUAUAUGAAUAAUAUAGGAAAAACUUUAAAAACCCCCUGUAGUUUCGUAGUUUCUCACUUUAGUACCCUGUGGUUUAAAAUAUAUCAAUUUAUCCCCCUGUGGUUUCGUUUUUCUCUUUUUAUUAUCAAUUUCAUUAUUUUUUUUUCUUAAAUCAGUGAUAAAGUUAAAAUUAAAGGGUAUUAAAGUGAAUAUUCGAUAAAUCUAGAUGAGUAUUUGAAGUUUUUUUUAUAUAAUUUAAUAAAAUAUUAACCAAAAAGCUAUUGAAAAGAUAAAAACGAAACUACAGGGGAAUAAAUUAAUACACUUUAAACCAUAGAGUACUAAAGUGAGAAAGCACGAAACCACAGGGGGUUUUUUUUGAAGUUUCCCCAAUAAUAUAAUAAUAACGCGGCAUUACGCGGGUUGGUCGUUUCGUGGGCCAAUCACGUAACAGUAAAGUUGGGGCCCACAAGUGUAGGCCCCACACGACACCUGGGGCAAAACGACAUUAUUCAAACCAACGUUGACUCGCUCCUAUUAUAAUUUUCAUACGAAAAGUAAAUAAUAUAUCGAAACAAAUUUUUAUUUUUUUAUUUUUUCGAAGCAUUAAUUUUUAUUUUUUUAUUAAAUACUUUUAUCAUUCAAUAUCUUUUCUUUUUAAGGCAAAAUAUUUAUACAUUUUGCCUAUUCUAUCUACUAAUAUUUUAUUAUUAUAUUAACUUUUUAAUUUUGAUACUUUUAGUUAAAAUUUGAAAUUAUCAGAAUUAAAAAAUAUAAAAAAUUAUUUAAUGUAUAUCUAUAUCUACACUAUAUAUAAAUUUUAUAAAAUAAAAAAUUAUAUAAUUAUUAUUGACAAUAAUUAUUUAAAUUUAAGUUAGAAUAUGACAGAUAUUUUUUAAUAAUAUAUAAUAAAUAAUUUUAUUUUUUUAAAUUUAAAUUUUAUAUUACAAAUUUUUGAAUAAAUAUAAUAUAUAAAUUUAUUUAUAUUAAUUUGAGAUAGUUAGUAAAAUAUUUAUUACGUGUAUUUGUAUGCAUAUUCGAAUAGAAAACAACAAAAAUGCAUUUAAGACUAAAAUAAUUUUUAAAUCAAAGGGAUUUAGAUAAAAUAAUAAUAGUCACAUCACAACGUAACGACCAGGAAAGGAGAUAUCGUUGUCACAACUCACAAACCAUAACUUAAUUUAAUUUAUUAUGUAAGUAAUGGUUGGGUAAGAACUGUUUCAAACAAAGAGCAGGUGUGGCCGUGUGGGGUUGUUUAAUCAUGGAAAAAGCUACUUAUUAUUAUUAUUAAACUACUCCAUUCCAUGUACUUCGAACAUGUUUUGGGCCAAUAACUUCUAUUGUUUUAUACCUACUCAGGUGCUCACUUUGAGGUUCAAUAAGAUAAAACACGAGAUUAGUUAAUAAUUAAAUAUAAUAUGGUGUGAUUUUUGCUCCUUCCGAAGCCAUAGUAUUCACAAUUUUGGUAGAAUCACAUAUUUUUACUUAUGAAGUAAUUUAUUUUAUACUGAAAAUAAUGAGUAAUAGAUAGAAUAUAAUAUUGGAAAAACUUCAAAUACCACCGUAUGAGAUUUCACACUUUCUCACUUUAGUACUAUGUGGUUUAAAAUGUAUCGAUUUAGUGCCCUAUGAUUUUAUUUUUAUCUUUUUAUUAUCGAUUUUAUUAAUUUUUUAGUUAAAUCGGUGACAAAGUUAAAACUAAAGAGUACUAAAGUGAAUAUUCGAUAAACCUCGGUGAGAUAUCUGAAGUUUUUUUUGUAUAUAAUUUAACGAAAUAUUAACGAAAAAUUUGACGAAAAAAUAAAAAUAACCACAAGAUACUAACUUGAUAUACUUUAAACCACAUGGUAUUAAAGUGAGAAAGUGCAAAACGCGAAACGACAGAGAUGGUAUUUGAAGUUUGCCCUAUAAUAUUCUAUCCUAAACUUUUGAUAAUAAUAGUCCUCAUCUAAUAAAAACUAUAAGCUUCUUGAUUGAAAAUAUAGUCCGAAUUAGGGAUGCAUUAAAAAAGUGUGCCUUUUUUAGCUGUUGUUUUGUGAUAUUUUUUAUAAAUGGAUCUGGGUUGAUAGAACCCCGUCAUGAUCUACCUCGAAUAGGGCAUAGGGUAUAAGGGUGUGCUCUGUAUCUGUCCCAACCCGCUAAGAAAAGUGAAGCAAGAGGCAGAAAUUUUUUUUCUUCCUUCAAUCUGUUUCGGUGUACCAAAAAUUUGCCUACGCUUUUUACCCAAUCCCCCGUAAAUAGAGCGGUAAACGGAGGCAAGAAAUGAGAUGAAAUUAACCUGCUUCGAAUUCACUCCGAUAAGCCAAAAAGAAGGGGUAGGAGGGGAGGGGACGUCUCUCGCCCCGUGACUUCACGCAUCCAAACAGAGUCUAAAUAAAUAUUUUAAGUAGGCCGAAUGGUGUAGCCCAUCUUACUUUGGGCUGGCCAGUUGGUCCAAUGGACCAGGUGCGACCCAAACGGGCUCUAUUAGGCCUAAUCCACUUAGCCCAUUUAUCACUGUUCAAUGGGCUCAAGGCCCAAAAUGAGUGUUAAAAGCCUGGACCCGGUCCACUAAAGGAGGGGUGAAUAGUGGUGCACAAAUAUACCGGUGCACGCGGUGCAACGAAUAAUUCCUUUCCGUGACGUAGUAGGGCACUCGUAUUACGAUGUUUCGCGGUGGACCAGGUGCAUGCUAUCUAUUUCUCCGGUCCAUGAGCAUUGCCCUAAAACCUUUUUCUCCUUUUUUUUUUUUUUUCUUUUUUUAUCACUUUUUUAACCCGUAAUCUCUAGUUCUCUGCUCUCCGCUCUAUCCCCCUCCGCUAUCCUCUGAAACCUUCUCUCGCUACUAAAACCCUUGUCGAGCUCCGCCGCCCACGAAUCCUCUCAAGCGCCACCGCCGUCGCCGGAGCUCUGCCGCCGCCGUCGCCGGAGCGUCCCCGCCACGCUCUGCCGCGGUCUCGUAGCGUUGCCGCUGCGCUUCGCCGCCGCCUCCUCGGCUCCAUCGUCGGACGCAGUUCCUGCUCUGGUAAGCUUCCAAUCUCUUGUUUUCUCUCUCUCUCGUCUCGAAACUCAUGUAAAGCUCGCGUUUUUGAGUUGGGUUCGUUGGGAUCGUCUUACUAAUCGAUUUUAUAUGUGUUCAUCCACAUGUGGUCCUGGUUGUAGUAUCCCUUUUUGUGUCGAAAUCGUUCUUUUGAGUUAUGUUGAUUUGAUUUGAUUGUGUAAUUUUACUCAAAAUCUGUUAUUUUCUUCGUUGUGUGAGGUAUGUACUGUUUAGUGAGUUAAUUUUGUUGUCUUUUUUUGCCCUAAUUUUACUCAAAAACCGUUCUUUUCUUCACUGCAUGUAGUAUACACUGUUUAGGAAGCUAAUUUAGUUUGUGUUUUUGCCCUAAUUUUACUCAAAAUUUGUUCUUUUCUUCAGUGUGUGGAGUAUAUACUGUUUAGUAAGUCAAUUUAGUUUGAUUUCUUCCUGAAAUUCUAUUCAAAAUCUGUUAUUUUUUCCAUUGUAUAGACUUCUAUACUGUUUAGGAAUUAUAUUUCUGUUUUUAGGCCAUUCCUAAUAAUUUUUUGCUUAAUCUGGAAGAAUUAUUGUAUAUUGAGUUUAAAAAGCUCUACCUUUUAUGUGAUUUAAGCAGCUUAUCUAAGCAUUAUUAAGUCGCAGCGAUCUAUGGCUACGCUUGGAAAACCUGCGGUGGGCGAUUCAUUGCGAAUCCCGGCUUUCCCUACUAAUGGGGUAGGGCAACAUGAAACUGAUUCCCUAUUGUAUAAAUUUCUUUUUCUUUUUUUUUUUACCUCUGUUGUCUCGAAUUCUUAUGUGAUUUCUUCUCUCUGUAUUCAAUUUCAGGAACCACGAAGAUCCCACAUGCUUUCUUUUAGGAAUCCUGGUGCAAGGAGAAGGUUCCAUGUGACCUGCAGCCGCUUUGGUCUCCGCCAUGUUCCGAUAUUAUCUAUUCGAAGAAAUGCUUCCCUGAGCACACCGUUAUUGUCGAUUCCAAGAGCUGUAGUUUCGAGGGGGUUGGAGAGCCCAUUAGACGAACAAUAUGAUACAUUGGAACAAACCCCUGAGAUUAUUCACUUCUAUCGCCGUCCAUUUAUUCGAGAAAGUGCAGCUGCCGAGCUUCUACGGCAAGUCCAAGAAAAGAUCUCUCCUAAUAUAGUAGAUAUAAAGACAGAGCAAUGCUUCAACAUUGGGGUGGAAGGGGUUCUACCAAUCAACAAGCUUGGAGUGCUUAAAUGGCUUUUACAGGAGACUUAUGAACCCGAGAAUUUAGAUAAACAUAGCUUCUUGGAGGAGGAGGAGGCCCUCACAGGUGCACAAAACUCCGUGUUAAUCGAGGUUGGGCCACGCAUGUCGUUCACAACAGCAUGGUCUGCAAAUGCUGUUUCAAUCUGCCAAGCAUGCUCUUUGACGGAAAUAACCCGUUUGGAGAGGUCAAGAAGGUAUCUUUUACAUCUCAGGCCCGGAAGUAGCCCACUAGAUGUAAACCAGAUUAAUGAUUUCGCGGCUAUGGUCCACGAUAGAAUGACGGAGUGUGUUUAUCCUCAAAAGCUCACAUCUUUUAAGACUAGCGCUAUUCCGGAGGCGGUUAGUGUGGUUCCAGUAAUUGAAAGAGGAAGGGAGGCGUUGGAAGAGAUAAAUGUGAAGAUGGGUCUUGCGUUUGAUGAACAAGAUAUUAAGUACUACACAGCGCUGUUUAAGGAUGACAUUAAGCGCAACCCAACAACUGUUGAGCUGUUCGAUAUAGCACAAUCUAACAGCGAGCACAGUAGGCACUGGUUCUUUAAUGGGAAACUUGUUAUUGACGGUGAGACUAUGAGUAAAACAUUGAUGCAGAUUGUGAAGAGCACUUUGAAGGCAAACCCCAAUAAUUCUGUCAUUGGCUUUAAGGAUAACUCGAGCGCGAUCAAGGGGUACCAAGUGAACCAGUUACGACCUGCUUUCCCCGGUUCGACCUGUCCACUAGACAUGAUUAUCCGCGAGCUUGAUAUUUUGUUCACGGCAGAGACGCACAAUUUCCCCUGUGCUGUGGCUCCUUAUCCCGGAGCGGAAACUGGUGCUGGGGGACGCAUCAGGGACACACAUGCAACUGGAAGGGGUUCAUUUGUGGUAGCCGCCACCGCUGGUUACUGCGUGGGUAACCUUCGCAUAGAAGGCUCCUUCGCCCCGUGGGAGGAUUCAUCUUUUCUAUAUCCAUCCAACUUAGCACCACCUCUUCAGAUUCUGGUUGAUGCCAGUGAUGGGGCAUCUGACUAUGGAAAUAAAUUUGGAGAACCAUUGAUUCAGGGUUUCACGAGGACCUUCGGUAUGAGAUUGCCGAGCGGGGAGCGGCGUGAGUGGCUAAAGCCGAUAAUGUUUAGUGGAGGAAUCGGGCAGAUCGAUCAUGCACAUAUCUCAAAGGGAGAACCUGAUAUUGGGAUGCUAGUUGUUAAGAUUGGAGGGCCGGCGUAUAGGAUCGGGAUGGGUGGUGGUGCGGCUUCGAGCAUGGUUAGUGGACAGAACGAUGCUGAGUUGGAUUUUAACGCCGUUCAGAGGGGAGAUGCUGAGAUGGCACAAAAGCUGUAUCGGGUGGUUCGUGCAUGCGCUGAAAUGGGAGAGAAAAACCCUAUAAUCAGCAUCCAUGAUCAGGGGGCCGGAGGUAAUUGCAAUGUCGUGAAGGAGAUAAUCUAUCCUAAGGGUGCUGAGAUCGACAUCCGUUCUAUCGUUGUCGGUGAUCACACCAUGUCGGUGCUAGAAAUAUGGGGUGCCGAGUACCAAGAACAGGAUGCUUUAUUGGUGAAGCCCGAGAGCAGAGACUUAUUGCAAGUGAUCUGCGAGAGGGAAAGGGUCUCAAUGGCCGUCAUUGGUACGAUCAGCGGCAGCGGAAAAAUCGUGUUAAUUGAUAGCUCUGCCAUAGAGGAGUCCAAGUCUAAUGGGCUACCUCCCCCACCACCUGUUGAGGAUCUCGAGCUAGAAAAGGUGCUAGGAGAUAUGCCCCAGAAGUGCUUUGAAUUCAGUCGAAUCCCUCAACUGCGGGAGCCGUUGGAUAUUGCGCCUGGGACCACGUUAAUGGAUUCUCUCAAGCGAGUGUUGAAGCUUCCUUCGGUAUGUUCAAAGCGCUUCUUAACCACAAAAGUGGACAGGUGUGUAACGGGUCUUGUAGCGCAGCAACAAACGGUGGGCCCGCUUCAACUCCCACUUUCUGAUGUUGCCGUUAUUGCCCAGACGUACACUGAUCUGACCGGCGGUGCUUGUGCGAUAGGGGAGCAGCCAAUUAAGGGCUUGCUUAAUUCAAAAGCCAUGGCGAGAAUGGCUGUUGGGGAAGCCCUAACCAAUCUAGUUUGGGCCAAAGUGACCUCUCUUGCUGACGUGAAAGCUAGCGGCAACUGGAUGUACGCUGCCAAGCUCGAUGGAGAAGGGGCGGAUAUGUACGAUGCCGCUAUUGCACUCUCGGAAUCUAUGAUUCAACUGGGUAUAGCUAUUGAUGGGGGUAAGGAUAGUCUUUCUAUGGCUGCUCACGCCGGAGGUGAGGUUGUUAAGGCUCCGGGAAAUCUAGUCAUCAGCGCUUAUGUCACCUGUCCUGAUAUAACGUUGACGGUUACUCCGGAUUUAAAGCUCACGAAUGAUGGCGUUCUCCUGCACAUUGAUCUAGCAAAAGGGAAGCGGCGCUUAGGUGGUUCCGCACUCGCUCAGGCUUUCGACCAAGUCGGCGAUGAUUGCCCUGAUCUCGAUGAUGUCCUUUACCUGAAGAGCGUCUUUGAAUCAGUUCAGGAUCUGCUUAGCGAACGCCUUAUUUCUGCCGGCCAUGACAUCAGCGAUGGCGGCCUUAUUGUUUGUGCCCUCGAAAUGGCCUUUGCUGGGAACUGUGGCUUGAAGUUGAACCUAAGCUCAGGAGGCCACAGCAUUCUUCAUACACUUUUUGCGGAAGAGCUUGGUCUAAUUCUCGAAAUCAACAAGAAGGACAUCGAUAUUGUUAAGAAAAAGCUGAAAACAAUGGGUGUUUCUAGCGAGGUUAUUGGUGAAGUUUCUGCAUCACCGGUCAUAGAAUUAGUUGUUGACGGGGAUCUGCGGCUAAAAGAGGAAACUUCCUACCUUAGGGAUUUGUGGGAGGAAACAAGUUUCCAACUUGAGAGCCUGCAAAGACUAGCUUCUUGUGUCAAACUCGAGAAAGAAGGCUUAAAGCAUAGACAAUCGCCUUCGUGGUCUCUGUCCUUUACCCCCAAAUUCACUAACAGUAAACUUAUUGCUGCAUCUUCGAAACCAAAGGUGGCCAUCAUUCGUGAGGAAGGGAGCAAUGGAGACCGAGAGAUGUCCGCAGCAUUCUACGCUGCGGGUUUCGAACCAUGGGAUGUCACAAUGUCGGACCUUUUGAAUGGAAAAAUUUCACUUGAUGAUUUCCGUGGGGUCGCAUUCGUGGGCGGUUUUAGCUACGCCGACGUCCUUGAUUCGGCAAAAGGUUGGUCAGCAUCUAUAAGGUUCAACCUGCCCCUUUUACAGCAAUUUCAGAAGUUCUAUAACAGGCCCGACACUUUCAGCCUUGGUGUUUGCAAUGGGUGUCAACUGAUGGCUCUUCUAGGGUGGGUGCCGGGGGGUGAUGUUGGUGGUUCUUCUGGUGUCGGCGGCGAUUUGUCACAGCCGAGGUUUGUUCACAAUGAAUCGGGCCGAUUUGAGUGUAGAUUUACUGGUGUUACGAUUGGGGAUUCACCGGCUAUUAUGUUUAAAGGAAUGGAAGGCUCUACAUUGGGUGUUUGGGCUGCUCAUGGCGAGGGAAGAGCGUAUUUUCCAGAUAAUGAUAUUCUAGGCUCUGUUCUUAAAUCUAAUCUCGCCCCCGUACGAUACUGUGAUGAUGAGAGUAAAAUAACAGAGGUGUAUCCUUUUAACCCCAAUGGUUCGCCUCUUGGGAUCGCGGCGCUCUGUUCUCCCGAUGGGCGCCACCUGGCGAUGAUGCCGCAUCCCGAGCGUUGCUUCAUGAUGUGGCAGUACCCAUGGUACCCAAAGGAGUGGAAUGUCGACAAGAAGGGCCCCAGCCCGUGGUUGAGAAUGUUCCAGAAUGCUCGUGAAUGGUGCUCGUAGAUCAGGUACUCCGUUUCUUUCUCAGUGAAUGCGACGACUAUUUAAGUUUCAUUUGGUCUUCUUACUGCUUUACUUGUUAUGUUAAAAAGAUUCUGAAGCUUGCCAAUUACUAUUUCCUGCGGAAAACUGUUUUCAGGUACGGAAACCGAAAGCUACAUUCCGGUAUGUUCUGCGUCAUUUAAGCGCUGACUUAUCGAAGUGGUCUGAUCUGCGAUGGUGGUAUUCAAGAAUGUGAAUUUUCUGAUGUACAACUGCAAAAUAUUGCUGGAUAAUAAUAUAAAAUAACUACUGUGAGGAAUAGAUCCAGUAAAAGUUUCUGGGUCUUAUUUUGAGUGGUUCUUAUAUUUAUUUCUAUACAAAACAAGAUAAUUCUAUACCUUCUUCUUAAUAAGUAUUUGGUUGCAUUUUGGCUCAUGCGAACAGCAACUUGAGUUUGAAGUAUAAUAUUAGCAAAGUACUCCAUGUGUAAGCAUACUAAUGGUGUCCAUUGGGUGUGUUUUGCUUAAUUACUUAUGUGUUGAGAUAAAACCAAUGUUCUUUAAUGGAGUAUUAAUUAAUUUGUUGUGAUUAUUGCCUUGUGAAUAUAUUUGAAAAUAUCAGGAUUUUUUUAAAGACAGUAUAUAAAAGUUGAAUUUUGUUGAGAGAUAUAUUUGACAUUCAUUAUAUUUGCAGGAAUAUGCAUAAAAUUAACUUCUUUUUUUUUUUUUAACUAAAUCCCUCAAAAGUGAAGCAACACUCAGGUGUUUAGAGAACACCACAAUAUCUUAAACUUGUAGGUCUUAUACUUAGAAGCAAAAGUUUCAAUUUAAACUCUGUCGCAUAAUUAUGCAGGAGUAAAUAAGCUUAAGCCUUUUUUACAGGGUCUUUGGUAACUCACAAAAUUGUGGGAAAUUAUUUUCUGGAAGAAGAAUUUUAUGUAUAGCAACAUCCUUUUCGAAGUUUUCGUUUUUCGAAUAAAAAAUUUGAAAAAGUGAAGAAACAGAAUUUUUCAUAAAAUUUUGAUUUCUUUUAUCUACUUUUUCUUAAAAUCAAACUGAUAGAAAAUAUUUUUUUAGUUAGAAAAGUAAUAUUUUUUAGGAAAGCAAAUAUUCCUUAGAAAGGUGCUUGCAUGGUUUCUCAAAAAAGGCGAUAAAAACUAUAAAUUGGGGAAAAAAAUAAGUCUUUCAUAGAAAACACUGUUUUCACUUUUUUUUUUUAUUUUCAAAUAAAGUAUUCAGAAACAAAAUUACUUCCUUUUUAUGAAAUCUAAAAAAGUUUUUUUUUAAGAAAAAUUAUUUUCUUAAGAGAUCUCACAAACGAUAAAUACUUUUUUCGUCCAAAAAAUUAUUCUCUGAGAUAUUUUUCAGAAAACUAAACACCUCCUUAACGUAUCGUGGCAGAAAAUAAUAUAUACAUAUAGAAUUGAGCUACAAUACUUUUAAAAAUAUCACUCCUAUGGUGCUUCUAGGUUUCUAGCCCUUAGAUCUACUCCUUGAUUACUAAUAGCUCUUGGAUCAAACAUUAUUCCACCUAUCACCACUUAUCACCAUCAUCCCAACCUUAUAUUUUUCUAUCUAAGGGUUAAAAACUCAAAAGCACCAAUCUCUUGAUGAUUUUGAGAGUAUUCUAUCUCAACUCUAUAUAUAUAUAUAUAUACAUUUUUUUUUCCUUUUCUGUUUUGGUUUAAAAGGAACCGAUCGAAUUACAUGCUAUUUUCUAAUAGCACUCAAAUAGAGUGGGCCUUAUAGAGAUAAAAGUUCAGAAUAAUUUGGUGUUCUCCAUCAUUUCCAUCCCCAAUCUUUUUUGAUGGACACACCCAUGCAUGCAUGCUUUGUCUCACAUAAAAAAAAAACAAGGACCAUCACACAAUAUAGCAUAUAUGGGUGUGUUUGUACACUUUAACUGCAUGCGCAAAACCACCAAAGGAUCCUAGGCCCAUAUUAUAGCCCUCUCCCCACUCUUGAUACUAUCCAAAUAAUGGCCAAAAAACAGAUUAUCCUAUCUAAAUUGACAACAACAAAAUAACCCUUACAAUGGAUUAUAUUUGUCUAUAAUAUUCUUAAAUUUUUAAAACAACUUUAUUACUCAAGAAGCAUAUAUCGCAUGCUAGCUUACCAACAAAAAGAAUUUACAGUUUUCGGAUGGCCGAAUGCUGAAAUGGAUUUUUUGAUAGUAUUAUUAGAUGAGAUGAAAUGAAUAACUUAGAUGAACAGAUGUUAUAACGAAUUUGUUGUUGCUUCUCAAAUUACUAUCUUUAAACAGCAUUUUUGUAAAAAAUUUAAGUUACACCAAAUUCUAGUAAGAUUUUUUUUUAAGAAAAAAAAAAAAAGAACAAAAGCAAGUGAAAGUGCAAAAGCAGCUUGAUGUAAAUCUCAGAACCUUUCUAGCCCUAUGUCAGGCAUCUAUCAGCCUUCACAUUUUCACCUAACACAACAACCAAGAGACAAAACCGGUAUACUUUGACUUGUCAGUUACACUUACACCAUGUAAAAGAGAGAGGACACUGCAAUAAUCACAAACUCCAACAUAAAUAUUCCCCCUGCCAUGUAAUAUAUAUAUAUAUACCUCCUGCUUCUCUGACAACACUCUCUGCAGGUCUUCUACUAAUCAUGGACUCAUUAUAUGUAAUAUAUUUUAUGUCCAAGAGUCCAAAAGUUAAAUUAAUUUAUGGUAAAAAUGUAUGAGAACCAAUCAAAUAUAUAUAAACUAUUUUAGAAUAUAUAUACCUUGCAACUUAAUUAGCUAUUAAAUUGACACCUUAAAAUUUGAUUUUUUUUCUAUUUUGAGUGAUUCUAGUCACUUAAAUUGACGAUCUUUCUAAAUUUAACGACCGUUCCAUUAAACAAUAAUGUUAAUUGACUUAUUUUUAUUAAAUAAAACUACAAGUUGACUACUAUGUAUAUAUAAUAGAGCUGUUAAAUUUAACAAUAUCUCCGAUUUGACUUAUACACUUGAGUAAUUCAAACUAUAUUUUUCUUAGAAAUCAGUACAAUGUAUAUUAAGAAAAAGAAAAAAAAAUUAAAAGAUGAGAGAGUGCCAUGGAAUAAUAAUAAUAAUAAUAAUAAUAAAUUGAGAGCAUCUCAGUUCACUUUGACUUUAAUAAGUAAUCCAGUAAGAACAAACUCGGGCACAGCAAUGCUAUAUAUAUAUAUAUAAUCCCACACAAUGUUAAUGAUGAAAUUAUAUAUAAACUAUGUUCUUCCCACAAUAUUAGAGGGCUAGCUAGGAGAUUACAUUCAUAAUUAAUCUUCAAAAGGAACGAAAUACAAAGAGAGAGGGAGCUAUAUAUCUGAAAGAGUCACUGUGUUGAUCACUUAAAAACUAGUGUAAAUCCCUUGCUGCAUCAUGAGGAAGAGCAUUCCAUUCCCAAAGCUUAUCCGAAAUCGAAGACAACGACAUCGACAUCGAGUUAAGCGGAAGCAUCUGGGCUUGUUGUUGUUGCAAUGGAAGGAGCUGGUUGUUUAGUAACUGGUUAUUGUAGGUUUGGUUGUAUCCUACUAACCUAUUUAGCUCAUCAAUGGGGGUUGAGGCCAUGGAGGGAGAAGUUAGGUUAAUGAGGGAGUAUGUGGAAACCAAACUGUUUGUGUUCUUCGAGUGGCCGUAGAGAGAAGUGCUUCCAUCUUCCUCCGUCGAUGUUGUCGAGCUCAAUGAAGCAACCGACGCCGACGUUGAUCCGUAGAGAGUAGUGGGUUUGUAUAUGGGUGUGGGCAAGUUGGUGUUGUUGUUUCCACUUAUAUGCACUUUGCGAGCUUUUUCUAUGGCGGUCGAUGAUGAAGAGUCGCCUCGAAAGGUUUCAAAGCUCGCAGGUAGAUGGCAAGAUGAGCUGAACUUUUUGUCGAGUCCGUUCGCUCUCGAGGAGGUUGGCUUUGUGGAAGUGUGGCUAGAGAGGUGAUUGUGGUCGUCGACACCGGCUCGCUUGUAGACCCGGCAUAAGGAAAUCUCGGCCUACAAACAUAUAUUAUAGAAUUUUUAGUAAAUAUUGAUUGCAAAGACAAAUAGAAGGUGAUGUAGAAUCUACAAAGCAAGAUGGAUGGAGUAUUAGACAUGGCAAAAGAAACCAAAUCACAAGAAGUACUAAUUAAGAACUAGUUGAGAGCAUUUAGAGUGUAAGAAGGAGAAAGAAGAUGGUUUUUUUUCUUUUUUAAGAGAGAGAGAGAGAGAGAGAGAGAAAAGGAGAAAUUUUAGGGUUUCCUUGAAGAAAAAAAAAAUCCUAGAUAAUUUAAACAAAAGUUCAUAUAUUUUGAUUAAGUGAGAGAAGAAGGUGAAGAGGAAAAAGAACUGAAGAAGCAAUAAGAGUUCUUCCUAGCAAAUCACUAAUCAGUGCUUGUGAAAGAUAUAAUAUCAUAACCCAAAAAUAUAGUUCAGAGGAAGAGAAAAUAAGGAGAGGGAGAAUAUAUAGGAUCAUACAAUUUAGUAGCUAAGAGGAAGUGGGGGAUUGUGAAAAAUUUCCCAGAAAACCUCAUUAAUAAAUUGCAAAUAUUUCAGAAGAGGAUCCUCAAAAGAAAGGCAGUAAGAAAACAAAAGAACAUAUAUAAAAAGAAGUGAAUGAACAAGGUAUAAUUAUGGCUUUAACACACCUCUCUCUCUCUAUCUCUCUCUCUCUCUCUCUCUCUCUCUCUCUCUGUGGAAAAGAGAAGCAGAAGCAAGGAACAAGAAGAGCAACAGUAGAAGCAGCUGAUCCGCAUGCAGUUACUCAAUUUCCAAGUAUCAGUUUGGUUUAUGUGGCACUAACUAUACAUAUACAUGUAAGAUCCUACACAAAGAGCAAACCCUAAUUUCUAUAAAUGAAAAUAAAGAACACACAACACAGAAGUUGGAUCUCAGCAAAACCCAGAUGCCUGUUUGAAACUUCUCUCUUCUUAUGUUUCAGUGAUUUUUGUGCCUAGUAAUUUAAUUAACAUUCAGCAAAAGAGUUCAUGACAAGGGGAUCUUUCACAGAAAAGUGGUUUUUGCCAUGAGCCAUGCAUUAAAGCCUACAAAAUUAAGAUUCUUUUUGCUGUUGUUUUUGGUCCCCAAAACCCUAGAGUGCCCCCAUGAUUGCCCCCUCACCGUCAUAUCCUACACCUUUAAUAUCCAGAUCUGGUUAUGGUAAAAGGACUAGGGGUUUCCUAUGUAUGUAGUGUCUUGUUACCUUCUGGUAAUGGUCGGUUUCGUUCUGCGGCAAUCGGUACUCGUUCAUGAUCCAACUGGUCCUGAUGCCCUUGGGAGCCUUCCCUGAGUAGAACACAAGGGUCUUCUUCAAUCCGAUCGACCGGCUGUUUUCGGCUCGGAUCAUCCGGUCGGCUCCAGUGGCCUUCCAGUAGCCCGAUGCGGUCACGCGGUUGGGUCGAUCUCCGUUCCUAUACUUUCGAUCUCUAGGGACAUAGAAGAACCACUCUUUCUCCCCAAUUGCUGCAAAUGCUGUACUUGAUAUAUAGUCCACGGUGUAGAAAUAAAGGAAAAGAAAAGGAAAAAUUAGCCUCCAAAAGGUAACCCAAUUCCUAAAAUUAGAGAUCUAUGACAAAUUAAUUAAACUCUAUAAGUUGAAGAAAAAAGGUGUUUUUCCAUAUAGAACAAGUAGGGAUCUGCCAAAACCCCUCAUCCUGCAUGGAUGGUUAUUCGCAAAAACCAAAAAGGGGAGUGUUUUUAGAGAAGGUGGAUAUCGAACCAGGGAGCUCCCAUGGGUCGUAGCGGUAGAGGUCGAGGAAGGUGAUAAGCUCGACGUUGAAGCGCUUGCCCUCGACCUUUCUGCGGAGGUAGAACUCGAUCAGCUCCUCUUCAGUAGGGUGGAAGCGAAACCCCGGCAUCACGAGAUCGUUCUCAUGAGCAUCCUUGCCAUCGUCGUCUCCACUCAUCGUAGAUCCGAUCGCCGCAUACCGCUAAAGCCCCGAAUCAUCAGCUCUUUCAACCCCCACCCUCACACCUGCUAUAUACUCCCCUUUCAAGUGGCUUCUUCUCCUUCUCCUUCUCCUUCUUCUUCUUCUUCUUCUAAGGUAGGUGCAAGUGGUGAAAGGAUUCAGAGAAUUUGUCAAACAAAUGGCAAAUAAAAUGGAUGAAUACUUGUAUUAAUUGUGAUUAAUGCUAGACUACUACCACCACCACUAUGAUUGUCCCCUGUUCUGACCCAUACUCUCUCUCUCUCUCUCUCUCUCUCUCUCUCUCUACACAAUUCCAAGUAGAGGAGAAAUAAAAAGGUGGGGUGAAUAAGUAAGGUUUCCAUAGGCUUGGGGAGGGCCUACAGGGAGAGGGAGGGGGCACAAAGGAGUUAAAGAAGAGAAAGAGACACUUCGGGAAGAGGACAUGGCUUAGAGAGGUGAAUGCAUGUCAUGACCUGCUCAAUCUCCUCAGCUAAAUUUCUAGCCUCUCUACAACAAGAAUCUAAUCUCUUCAUUGGCUUAUCUUCUAUUAUUUAUUCUUUUUAUCUUUCUUUUUUAUUGUACUUUUCACUGCUGCUGUUAAUUUCUUCCUCAUGCAACCACUAUACCACCCCUCAUAAAUUCAGUCAUAUAUAAAGCUUUGCGGUUAACUGUAAUAGAUAUUCGCCGACCAUCCCUACCGUAAGCAGUAAAAGAUUUGAUGAUUGUUAUUCGAGAUUCCAAAUUCGCAAUUUAGUUGCUUCACAUUUUCAGCUAAGUUUAUUUAUUAAAAAAAAAAAAAAAGGCAAAAUGCUACCUUUUCUCUCUCUCAAAAAAAAUUUGUAAACAAGUAUCUGGUUAAUAAAAAAAAAAUUCUAUAACUUUGUAUUACAAAAAGCAAAAAAUAAUUUUGAGGCUCAAAAGCAAAAUCUUCUAUUUAAAACUUCUGAUUUUAUUGCAGAAUAGGCUUUAUUGGCGAAGUAAUUAAUUCUCUAAUUAUUGCAUCCAUGCAUGCAAUGCAUGCAAUGCAAUAAUUACGCAUCCAAGCAUUGCAAUGCAAGGUAAUGCUGAACCUUAUAAUUACGCAUAGUCACAAUAUAUACUUCCUAAGUUUGAACUACAAUUACGCAUAGUCACGAUAUAUAUAUUCUUCCUAAUUUUGUGAAGUUCAUUAUUAAUUAACAAACUUUUAAUAGUUGGCCAAGUAAUCCUCUAACUAUAUACUAGCUAGUAUGUGAAUGUUGAUGUACAAAAACGAAAAUGAUCAUAACUUGCACCCAAUUCUUCUUCAUUUUCAAAGUGCAUUGUUCAUUAUCCUUUCUUUUUCUUCGUUUGCUCAAAAAUGUUUACAAGAAAUUAUAUAAACAACUUGUAAAAUUUUUUACGCUAGUAUUGUUUUAUUUUCGGAUGUGUGUGUGCUUGUGUGUUCUAUAAAAUGUUCGAGGCUGGCAAUUUAAUUUUGUUAGAAAUUUGCGGCUUACAUUGAUACCAGAUUUUCUCUGAGAUUUCAAAAUUCGAGACAUAUCUAAUAAAUUUUAACUGAUCUUUCUAAGCAUAUAUAUCUAUAUACCUAUUUUAUCAUUCUAUCUAGAAAUGCCAAAUUAAUUAUGAAUUAAUAUAAAUUAAUGUACCAUGAACUGCAAGGGAUAAUAUAUAUAUUUAUAUAUGGAGUUGGGCUGGAAUACUAUCAGUAGCAAACAUGCUUCGGUGUUAUCCAUUUGUUUUCGAUGAUGAAGCCUCCAAAUGGACGAUCGUCAAUAUUGAGCAUAAUUUAUACCACUUGAAAUAUGUAGAAAUCAAAUUUAAAUCUUUUUUACAUCAAUGGCCUAAUGAUCAAAAGGUUUCAAAUUUUAAAAUUUUAAUAAUCAAUAUGAGAUGUUUUCUCAUUUAACGGCGUAGAGAUAUUCAAAUCAAUUGAAUUUUGGUUAAUUUUUUUUUAAAACUAUUUAGAAUAAAAUCUAUACGCUUGAUCUUGAUUAAAGUCUCUUAUCAUCACUUUUUAAAAAAUAUUCAAUUUUUAUUGUUCUUUUUUGUGUCCACUUGAUAGACAAGAGAAAAAUAUCGAAAAAAUAUAAAAUUUAAUUUUAGAUGCUUUAGGUGGUAUAGAUUAUAUUCAACGGUGUCAAUCAUCGAUUUGGAGGCUCCAUUAUUGAAAAUAAAUUGUGGCAACGGAGUCUGUUUGCUACUGAUAGCAUUUCAAUUCAACUCUAUAUAUGUAGUGUAGGUCUUGUGUGCUAUUAGGAAUAUGGAGGCCUCCGUGCUCCUAAGCCAUUUUUUAUGAUGGAUCUUUCGAAUCGAUGAUCAGCUCCAUCAGACUUGAUCUAACUAAUUUGAAGCAUUUAGAAAAUAAAUUUUGUGAUUUUUUGAUAUUAUAUAUUUACCUAGCAAUCGAAAGGGUUCAAAAUUAAUAAUUUUUAAUGGUUGAUGCAUAUUGUUUGCAAGUUUAACAGUAUAGUAGUAUUCAAUAAGAUGAAAUUUUAAUAGAAAUUUUUUUGUACUAUCUAUAACAAGAUUAAUAUAUCUGAUCGAAAAUUUUAGUACUACAUCACCAUUUUUUAUGCGAUUUUUAUUUUCAACCGUCAAUUUUGAACCCUUUCGAUCGCUAGGUAAAUGAUAUCGAAAAAUCACGAAAUUUAUUUUCUAGAUACUUCAAAUAUGCUAUAUCAAAUCUAAUGAAGCCGAUCAUCGAUUCGAUAACUCCAUCAUCGAAAACGGCUUAGGAACACGGAGGCCUCCGUGCUCCUAGCUAAUAGCAUACAAAUCAAACCUACUCCAUAUAUAUAUAUAUGUACAUAUAUACGUACGUAUAUAUGUAUGUAUACAAGGCCAUAAUUGGUACGUAGAAAAAAUAACUAACCGAGUUUGGGUAUGGGUAUGGGGGUUGUGAAGUCAAGUGAAAUCCGUGACCACACCUACGUUGUUGAGUUUGACAAAUUAAGCACACCUCUACAUUACUAUAUAUAUAAACCCUUUCAUUUUAAUCGAAUAGUCCCAUUAUAUAUAUAUAUAUAUAUAUAUAUAUAUAUUCAACAUCAUGGUACUGUUAUUCUCCUCUCUUUUGAGGAUCUCUUUCGUUUUCUGCUAUGAUGCAUGCUACAAUGAUCACCCUACGCUAUACUACAUGUUCCAAGAGCCCUUUUUGGAUUCAACUAAUGGGGGGGGGGGAGGGGCAAAACCCAAAUUGGGUUUUGAAACAUUGAACCCAUCUUUUCCAUUUGAUUCAUUACCCGGCCCCACCCUUAUAUAUAUUUAUGUAUACUCUCUCUCCACCACUCAUGUAUCCAUCAAAGCCUCUAUCAUCUCAUGAAACUUAUAUAGCCCUUUGGAAUGCCACAAUUACCUACCACUUGCUACAAUAUUGUAUUGGGUCCUUAGUUGACACAUGGGAGGCUCCAAAAAAUCACCAUGCAAUAGUACCCUUCCUUUAAUUAAUUAAAUUCCAUCUUUAUCUUAUUUUUCUCAUGGAAUGCCCAUAUAUCGUGCAAGUAAUUAAAGAUGGCCUAGAAGAGGAUGUUCUCUCAAGUAUAAUAUAUUAGGAUAUGUGUAUAUUUUUUGACAAAUGAUUGUUUCACAUAAAUAGUAUGUAUCAGAGUAAGAGGUCCCAAUUAACUUAAUUCAACGUUAUCGGCCCUAUCAGAAAGUUGAUCUGGAGCUUGGACUCAAGGAAUGGUGUUGAAUAUGAUAUAUAUUAGAAGUAUCAUUUUCUACCGGCUUAAGCUUUGUAACGAUAUGGUUGUUUUGAUACGACCAAACUAUACGUUUCUGCAUUGAUGUAUUGUGGAAAUUGCGAGAAGCGUGAGAGACUCCGCUGCCCUUUUCUUCAACCCCAUUAGGAAGUUGACUAAAAUGUUGGAAAAGUCUUCAAAUGAAAGGGACUCAACAAGCUAUCCUUGUGAUUAGGAUAUUAAGAGAUUCUCGCUUGUACUAUAUAGAAGCCCAAGUUGAUCUCUCCAACAAGCUUAUAUAACCUUGCCGACCCCAGAGAAGUCCCCUUCACAAAGACCUAUAUAUAUAUAUACAUUUCAACAGUUGAAUCCAUAAGAUGACUAGCUAGCUAGCUAUGUAUAUUUUUCCCACUCAUGAAGGGAAAAAAAUAAAAAAUAAAAAAAAAAAAAAAAAAUAUUAUAUAUAUAUAUAUAUAUAUAUAUAUAUAAUAUAUAUAUUAUAUAUAAUAUAGAGUGAGGCUACUAUGCUAUCGCGAAGCACGGAGCUUUCCGUGCUUCCAGCUCAUUUUCGAUGUUGCGACUUUAAAUCGUCGAUCGCUCCGUUAACUUGAUUUAAGUAUUUCAAGUACCUAGAAAAUAAAUUUAUGAUUUUACAAUAUCAUUUGCCUAGUGAACGAAGGGGCUCAAAAUCAACGGCUGAAAAUAAAAAUCUUACCAAAAUGUGAUAAUAUGACACAAAAUUUUAAAUCAAAGAUAUUGAUCUUGUUUUAUAUAGUAUAAAAAAUUUCUAUCAAAAUUCACGUGAUUUAGAUAUUUCUACACCGUUAACUUGCAAACUGCUCACUACAACCAUUGAAAUUUGUUGAUUUUGAGCCCAUUCGAUCACUAGGCAAAUGAUAUCGAAAAAUAAUAAAAUUAUUUUCUAGGUACUCCAAAUACUCUAGAUCAAAUUUAACGAAGCCGAUCGACGAUUCGAAAGUCGCA
rnacentral:lncRNA from 1 species